CUGACAAUACAUUCACCAUAUGGUUUAAGUAUCGGAUGUGAAUCAAAGUUUUUAUCUCCCAAUGCAUGCUGACAAAAUAAGGAUAAAGCACUUUCAUCAGAUAGAAUAGGCAAAUGAUAAGGUUCAUUGUUACCAAGUUGGGUUAACAACGACAUCUUCCGGGUCGUCAUGAUAACUUUACUUCCGGGUGCCCCUGCAAGAAAUGGCCCUGCUAGGAUUUCCCAAUCCGUAUAGCUUUCACUCCACACAUCAUCUAAAACAAGCAGAAAUCGCUUAUUUGAGAUCUUCUCUCUUAAAGCUACUUGAAGUAGAUUUAAAUCCUUAAAUUCUUGGUUGCCCCCGCCUAUUGAUUGAAAAAUAAUAUUGCUUAUAUUGAAGAUAUCAAACUCAUCAGAAACACAGACCCACGCCAUGAGUUCAAAAUGAUCCUUCCCUUGCAUUUCAUCAUACAAAAGUCUAGCGAGAGUGGUCUUACCUACCCCACCCAUACCAACUAUGGGCACGAUGCUAAAGUUUCUAUCACAUGGUUCAUAUAGCUUGUGGAUCAAAGCAUCCUUUUCAUCUUUGCGUCCAAUAAUACUAGAUGCAUCUACCAGAGAGGUCUCUAACCUUCUAUUUCUAUGUUUUGGGCUUUCACCUAUCACACUCAAACCAAGCUUAUAUUUUUCCUCAAACAGUUCUUGUAACUUGAUGGUGAUAUUUCCAAACUUGUCAUGCAUUCUAGCACUUGGUAAGAGCUUUCUUACCUUGCUUGAGGUUCCGGAUUCCUCUGUGAACUCACGAUGCAUAGCUUCCGUUGACAAUUCGUCAAGUAGAUCGUCUAUGUCGUAAGCCAAAUGUUGGAGACUAUUCAGCCAUUCUUUAACAGCUUCCUGACGUAUUUCCUUCUGAGAAGCAUCAUUAAGCAGAUCUUUGAUCUUGAUUAAUGAUAUCUUUAACUUCUCCACGUCGUCGGCAUCAAUUUUCUUGAAACGAGCAAACUGCUUGAAGGCUUCGGAGGCCAGCUUGUCACAGAACAAAGAGUACAGGGCAGAAAUGAUUCCAGCCAUUGCUUACGAUGAAGGCGUAGGUAUGAAUGAUAGAGAUGAAGAUGAAUUGAGCGUGACUUUUGAUUGAAAAGAACGAUCCAAGUUGUCCAUUGUUUAUUGGUCAACGCCUUUUUGCCACCGCUUUACUUUUAAAUAGUCCAGCGGAUCGUCUAGACGAAAUUUCAUAAAUAAUCCCUUAGUUUAUCAAAUAUUAUAAUUUUAGUUCUAGCUUUUUUAUUUGUAUCAAUUGGGUCGGUGUUGUUUUCAGUUUUGCAAAAGCAAUCCAUCUUCUGUUCGAUCUAACCGGUCUAUAGUUAGAUUGUUCUUUAUGACAUUGUACCGUUAAACCAAAUUUGCAAUUAAUUAUUUAUUAGAAUAAAUUACAUGAAUCGUCUCUUAUUCAAGUGUGAAAAUACAUGUUUAGUCUCUCUUUCUAAAAAUUAACUCGGACUAUCCUUGCAUUUUUUUUUUCAAUCGGGUCUUCCCAGUAGACAUAAAAUGACUAAAACAUGUUAGUUUUCAUUUGCAUUAAGUAGUUUUUAAAUUAUUAAGACAUAUACUAAAAUAUGCUUAAGCAGAAGCAACUUAUAAGACCUUAAACUCUACACUACUCAAAGCAAGAAAGGAGAAGGAAAAGCGCCAUGGUGGUCUCGGUUUUUUAAGAUGAAAAAUAAAAAAGAAUAACUAGUUCAAGCCUCCUACCUCCUUUAUAUACUCAUAUACUUAGAUGAAAGUUGAUUCUUUCAUUUAAUGGGAUCAUGAUUUACAAGCAACUCAUGAAGUAUAAGAACAUAAAAGUCAAAGAAACAACCACCAUGUCUCACUAAACAUGGAGUAUGAAAAGAUUAUGAGUGGAAUCCACAUCAUCACUCUUAUAAAUAUAGACAAUAUAUAAAAUUGUCUUUUAUAAGUCAAAUAUUAUGUACAUUGUUGGGCUGAAGAUAGUUUUGAUGUUGCGUCUUUUGGGCUCGUUAGUUUAGCCUUGUAUUCUCCGGGUUGGGCCUGUCCAACCGAGAGUCUUUUAUGUAUUGUAUAUAAGUUAAAUGCUUGCAUGCAUAUUAGGUUAAGAUUGCAGAGAUUAUCGAAAUAGGGAUUCAUCAGAGUAUAAUAUUUUUCCUGUAAUCGUUCUUGUAAUCUUCUAAUCCUUUACAGUUGAUGUUCUUAAUCGAGCUCUUCUAAGGAUUUUAUUUAAUCAUUCGACACGAUUGAUUCAAGCUGUUUGUUCUUAUUAUUGUGUUUUUACUAUUUCAUAUUCAUAUACUUGUUCAAGAUCUAAUCGAUCUUCGUAGAUUAAAAGUUGUAUUAAUCCCAUCAUACAUAACAUUAUAAUCAUACCAUAUGUCGUCCCAAAAACCAAGGUAAACAUUUUUCAAAUUUUAAAAUGAAUUAAAAUCCAUUUCAUAAAAGUUAAACACCAUAAAUUCAUUCUUUUACCAAAUGGAGUCAAAAUCAAAGUAUCAAAUAAUAAAGUCUACUGGAUAUUGUGUAUUGUCACACCGUCGCCUUGCCUUUAUCUUCAGAAGUCCCUGAAACAUUUAAAUCCACAACGGUAAGCCAAAGCUUGGCGAGUUCCCUACAAUACCUCAGAUAACAAUAAACAUAUAAUGCAUCCACACAAGGUUAGAUUGCCACAUGGGUGUAACACCCUGUUUCAGAUUGUUUUGUGAUUCAAGAUCAUGGACCGCGAUUUAAUUAUAUGUAGGCUUUGGGGAUUUUAAAGAAGUAAGCUUUGGACUUUAUUGAAAGAUGUUAUUGCUGGUAAUGGGAUCCAGACCUAUGAAUCGUGUAUUCGAAACUGAGGAUAGACUGGGGAAAUAUGUGUCAGGCCGCUUGGGUAACGCCCCAUUUCUGGUAUGUAAUUUAAUUGUGCAUUUUUCAGUUUUCAAGAGGAACUCGACGAGUCAGUAGCCCGACUCGUCAAGUAGAGACGGGAUUUUGAGCAUGUUUAAGUAGGCAACUCGAUGAGUCCAUAUUCGUGGACUCGGCGAGUCCGCCUGUCUGGAAGAAACCCUAAUUUCAAGGGUUUGCACCCUAUUUAAACAACUUUUUGGGGCUCAAGUCAGCCCCCAUCACUUCCAGAACACUCCUCUCGAAACCCUAGCAUUCCUUAUACCUUUUGAGUAUAUUUUGUGUGGUUCUUUGAAGAUUUGGAGAGAAGAAGGAAGGUAGAUCCAAAGGAAAAGAAGAAGAUUAAAGAUCUUGAGUCCAUUUAGAAGCUUUGAGAGGUAUAACUCGAACAUCUACUGUUUCCAUGCUUAAAUCUCCAUUAAAACCCCAAUAUAAUCAUUUCUAGGACAUUUCUUAGCUUGUUAGUGAAUAGAGAGCUCAUAUGAGCAAAAGGACAUCAGAUCUAGUCAUAAUCGAGCUCUAGAAGCUCAGAUCCACUGCCUUUAUUGAGUCAAAUUCGUAUGCAAGCCUAGAUCUACACUUUGAAUCCAUUUAGAUCCCUUUAAACUCUUGUAUAUGCAUGCAUGCAUGUAAAGUUGGAAACUUUACGUGUAAAAACCACCCUAGGAACCCAGAUCUAUGAGUUGAAUGUGUUGGAAUCGAUCAAAAUUGGUUGUAUGGUAUUUGCAUGCAAGCGACUCGGCGAGUUGUUCAUCAGACUCGACGAGUCGAGUCGCGAGUCCCCAAUUUUCCCCCUUUUGAUUUAAUUGAGUGGAACCAGUGAGUUAGAGGUGGACUCGGUGAGUCGAGAGCCGGACUCAAUAAUGGAAAGACUCGGCGAGUAAAUUCCCUAACUCGACGAGUCCAAGGCAAUCUUAUUGCCUCAAGAACAGACUCGACGAUAUGAUGAANACCAGAGUGUUCUUAUGAUGAAGGAGAACUCGACGAGUUGUUCAUACAACUCGGCGAGUCAGAUGAAAAUAGACUGAUUAUUCGCAUCGAAGAGGAACUCGUCGAGUCUAUGCCAAACUCGACGAGUAGUAACGGACAGGAAUUAAAAAUGAGAGCAUGGACACGACGAGUUGGCGUCCCAACUCGGCGAGUCAGGUCAACUGUAUGUUGACUUUGACCAUAGUGUUGACUUCCUCCAGGGGUAAGAUAGUCAUUUUACCCUCAGAUUAGUUAUCAGUAUUUGAUUGAGUGUGUUUAUGGGAAUUAUAGCCGGGGAGAUACCGGAGCAGCAGCAGAGAGUUCCCAAGUAGAUUUUCAGCAGCCAGCUUUCGAGGUGAGUUUCCUUCCAGUAGGAACGAGUCUACGGCCAUAAUGCCAGCUUGUUUAGUUAGCAAUGGUUCCGGACUUCGGUCCGAUGCAGUAGUUCAGGGUGCUUGAUGUCUUUGUGAUUCAAGCAUGUCUUUGUGUUAUGUGUUCCGGACUUCGGUCCGAUGCAGUAUACAGUAUAUGUGUUUAUGCUAGUUGAUAUGUGUUUAUGCUAUGCUAUGAUCAGUCAGUUCCGGACUUCGGUCCGAUGCAGGGGACAAGGUCCCAGUCAGUUCCGGACUUCGGUCCGAUGCAGGGGACAAGGUCCCAGUUAGUUCCAGACUUCGGUCCGAUGCAGAGGGCAAGUCCCUGGUUAGUUUCCGGACUUCGGUCCGAUGCAGUUUCCAGACUUCGGUCCGAUGCAGUUUCCGAACUUCGAUCCGAUGCAGUGGGCAAGGCCCAGUAUGUGCUUUAUAUAUUAUUGUAUGGUAUGUGGUAGUUUGGGGGAGCUCACUAAGCUUUGUGCUUACAAUUUUCAGUUUUGGUUUCAGGUACUUCCGCUAGCAAAGGGAAGAGCUCGGGAUGACGGCAUCGCACACACCACAGCCUCAGUUUUAUCCUGGGAGUUUUAAUUGGAUAAUGUUAUGAUCGAUACAAUUUUUGUUUAGACACAGUUACUAUGAAAUUUGAGUUACUCAUUUAAUGGUUUUUAUUAUUUAUGAUAUCCGAUGAUGUGAUUUUAGUAAUAUUAAAACAGAAAUUUUUGAGUUGUAUUUUGGGUCAUUAUAAGCUGGUAUCAAAGCCUUGGUUUGAGGGAUUUAAGCACACUUACGGGUAUCACUAAACUCAAACUAAGGAAAUAGUAAAAGGUUUUUGAAAGAAAAAUGUUUUCAAAAGAAUUUUUGAAAAAGAGACUUAAAAAUAAAAGAGUUUUGAAAACGAGAAAAAGGUGUGGUGCAUGCAAUCAGCCAAGCUCAAGUAAGUACUCCCAAAUUACCCAUACAAGUUUACAUUAUGAGUAUCUGUUUCAGUUUCAGUAGAACAGCAUGCUAGAAUAGGACUAAGGAUCUAGGGAGAUGCCUUAUGCGCCUGCUAUAUGUGUUUCAGCUUUAUGAGAAUUGCAUGCUAGUACUGAGUAGACAGUAGUAGGAUAGCCUGUUUAGGUUAUGCCUGAUAGUAUGAGCUUAGCAUUGUAUGCUAGUACAGUUUCUUUUUAUGAGGAUAGAGUUGCUUGAGUAGUUUCCUGUGUUCAAAUGCUGCUUGCUUUGUGCUUUGUGGGACUCUGAGUAAUGGGAGUUAUCCAUUAGGUGAAUACAUCACAUCGCAUGUGAUCAGGGUUGAAUAAUCUCAGAGUGUUGGAUUUGGCCCUACUACGAAGCUCUUGUUUCCAUGCUUAAAUCUCCAUUAACACCCCAAUAUAAUCAUUUCUAGGACAUUUCUUAGCUUGUUAGUGAAUAGAGAGCUCAUAUGAGCAAAAGGACAUCAGAUCUAGUCAUAAUCGAGCUCUAAAAGCUCAUAUCCACUGCCUUUAUUGAGUGCAAUUCGUAUGCAAGCCUAGAUCUACACUUUGAAUCCAUUUAGAGCCCUUUAAACUCUUGUAUAUGCAUGCAUGCACGUAAACUUGGAAACUUUACGUGUAAAAACCACCCUAGGAACCCAGAUCUAUGAGUUGAAUGCGUUGGAAUCGAUCAAAAUCGUUUGUAUGGUAUUUGCAUGCAAGCGACUUGGCGAGUUGUUCAUCAGACUCGACGAGUCGAGUCGCGAGUCCCCGAUUUUCCCCCUUUUGAUUUAAUUGAGUGGAGCUAGUGUGUUAGAGGUGGACUCAGUGAAUCGAGAGCCGGACUCAAUAAUGGAAAGACUCGGCGAGUCAAUGCCCUAACUCGACGAGUCCAAGGAAUUGUUCUUGCCUCAAGAACCGACUCGACGAGUUGUUCAUACAACUCGACAAGUCUCAGACCAGAGUGUUCUUAUGAUGAAGGAGAACUCGACGAGUUGUUCAUACAACUCGGCGAGUCAGAUGAAAAUAGACUGAUUAUUCGCAUCGAAGAGGAACUCGUCGAGUCUAUGCCAAACUCGACGAGUAGUAGCGGACAGGAAUUAGAAAUGAGAGCAUGGACUCGACGAGUUGGCGUCCCAACUCGGCGAGUCAGGUCAACUGUAUGUUGACUUUGACCAUAGUGUUGACUUCCUCCAGGGGUAAGAUAGUCAUUUUACCCUCAGAUUAGUUAUCAGUAUUUGAUUGAGUGUGUUUAUGGGAAUUAUAGCCGGGGAGAUACCGGAGCAGCAGCAGAGAGUUCCCAAGUAGAUUUUCAGCAGCCAGCUUUCGAGGUGAGUUUCCUUCCAGUAGGAACGAGUCUACGGCCACAAUGCCGGCCCGUUUAGUUAGCAGUGGUUCCGGACUUCGGUCCGAUGCAGUAGUUCAGGGUGCUUGAUGUCUUUGUGAUUCAAGCAUGUCUUUGUGUUAUGUGUUCCGGACUUCGGUCCGAUGCAGUAUACAGUAUAUGUGUUUAUGCUAGUUGAUAUGUGUUUAUGCUAUGCUAUGAUCAGUCAGUUCCGGACUUCGGUCCGAUGCAGGGGACAAGGUCCCAGUCAGUUCCGGACUUCGGUCCGAUGCAGGGGACAAGGUCCCAGUUAGUUCCAGACUUCGGUCCGAUGCAGAGGGAAAGUCCCUGGUUAGUUUCCGGACUUCGGUCCGAUGCAGUUUCCGAACUUCGAUCCGAUGCAGUGGGCAAGGCCCAGUAUGUGCUUUAUAUAUUAUUGUAUGGUAUGUGGUAGUUUGGGGGAGCUCACUAAGCUUUGUGCUUACAAUUUUCAGUUUUGGUUUCAGGUACUUCCGCUAGCAAAGGGAAGAGCUCGGGAUGACGGCGUCGCACACACCACAGCCUCAGUUUUAUCCUGGGAGUUUUAAUUGGAUAAUGUUAUGAUCGAUACAAUUUUUGUUUAGACACAGUUACUAUGACAUUUGAGUUACUCAUUUUAUGGUUUUUAUUAUUUAUGAUAUCUGAUGAUGUGAUUUUAGUAAUAUUAAAACAAAAAUUUUUGGGUUGUAUUUUGGGUCAUUACAAGUUGGUAUCAAAGCCUUGGUUUGAGGGAUUUAAGCACACGUACGGGUAUCACUAAACUCAAACUAAGGAAAUAGUAAAAGGUUUUUGAAAGAAAAAUGUUUUCAAAAGAAUUUUUGAAAAAGAGACUUAAAAAUAAAAGAGUUUUGAAAACGAGAAAAGGGUGUGGUGCAUGCAAUCAGCCAAGCUCAAGUAAGUACUCCCAAAUUACCCAUACAAGUUUACAUUAUGAGUAUAUGUUUCAGUUUUAGUAGAACAGCAUGCUAGAAUAGGACUAAGGAUCUAGGGAGAUGCCUUAUGCGCCUGCUAUAUGUGUUUCAGCUUUAUGAGAAUUGCAUGCUAGUACUGAGUAGACAGCAGUAGGAUAGCCUGUUUAGGUUAUGCCUGAUAGUAUGAGCUUAGCAUUGUAUGCUAGUACAGUUUCUUGUUAUGAGGAUAGAGUUGCUUGAGUAGUUUCCUGUGUUCAAAUGCUGCUUGCUUUGUGCUUUGUGGGACUCCGAGUAAUGGGAGUUAUCCAUUAGGUGAAUACAUCACAUCGUAUGUGAUCAGGGUUGAAUAAUCUCAGAGUGUUGGAUUUGGCCCUACUACGAAGCUCUUGUUUCCAUGCUUAAAUCUCCAUUAAGACCCCAAUAUAAUAAUUUCUACGACAUUUCUUAGCUUGUUAGUGAAUAGAGAGCUCAUAUGAGCAAAAGGACAUCAGAUCUAGUCAUAAUCGAGCUCUAGAAGCUCAGAUCCACUGCCUUUAUUGAGUCAAAUUCGUAUGCAAGCCUAGAUCUACACUUUGAAUCCAUUUAGAGCCCUUUAAACUCUUGUAUAUGCAUGCAUGAACGUAAAGUUGGAAACUUUACGUGUAAAAACCACCCUAGGAACCCAGAUCUAUUAGUUGAAUGCGUUGGAAUCGAUCAAAAUCGUUUGUAUGGUAUUUGCAUGCAAGCGACUCGGCGAGUUGUUCAUAAGACUCGACGAGUCGAGUCGCGAGUCCCCGAUUUUCCCCCUUUUGAUUUAAUUGAGUGGAACAUGUGUGUUAGAGGUGGACUCAGUGAGUCGAGAGCCGGACUCAAUAAUGGAAAGACUCGGCGAGUCAAUGCCCUAACUCGACGAGUCCAAGGCAAUCUUCUUGCCUCAAGAACAGACUCGACGAGUUGUUCAUACAACUCGACGAGUCUCAGACCAGAGUGUUCUUAUGAUGAAGGAGAACUCGACGAGUUGUUCAUACAACUCGGCGAGUCAGAUGAAAAUAGACUGAUUAUUCGCAUCGAAGAGGAACUCGUCGAGUCUAUGCCAAACUCGACGAGUAGUAGCGGACAGGAAUUAGAAAUGAGAGCAUGGACUCGACGAGUUGGCGUCCCAACUCGGCGAGUCAGGUCAACUGUAUGUUGACUUUGACCAUAGUGUUGACUUCCUCCAGGGGUAAGAUAGUCAUUUUACCCUCAGAUUAGUUAUCAGUAUUUGAUUGAAUGUGUUUAUGGGAAUUAUAGCCGGGGAGAUACCGGAGCAGCAGCAGAGAGUUCCCAAGUAGAUUUUCAGCAGCCAGCUUUCGAGGUGAGUUUCCUUCCAGUAGGAACGAGUCUACGGCCACAAUGCCGGCCCGUUUAGUUAGCAGUGGUUCCGGACUUCGGUCCGAUGCAGUAGUUCAGGGUGCUUGAUGUCUUUGUGAUUCAAGCAUGUCUUUGUGUUAUGUGUUCCGGACUUCGGUCCGAUGCAGUAUACAGUAUAUGUGUUUAUGCUAGUUGAUAUGUGUUUAUGCUAUGCUAUGAUCAGUCAGUUCCGGACUUCGGUCCGAUGCAGGGGACAAGGUCCCAGUCAGUUCCGGACUUCGGUCCGAUGCAGGGGACAAGGUCCCAGUUAGUUCCAGACUUCGGUCCGAUGCAGAGGGAAAGUCCCUGGUUAGUUUCCGGACUUCGGUCCGAUGCAGUUUCCGAACUUCGAUCCGAUGCAGUGGGCAAGGCCCAGUAUGUGCUUUAUAUAUUAUUGUAUGGUAUGUGGUAGUUUGGGGGAGCUCACUAAGCUUUGUGCUUACAAUUUUCAGUUUUGGUUUCAGGUACUUCCGCUAGCAAAGGGAAGAGCUCGGGAUGACGGCGUCGCACACACCACAGCCUCAGUUUUAUCCUGGGAGUUUUAAUUGGAUAAUGUUAUGAUCGAUACAAUUUUUGUUUAGACACAGUUACUAUGACAUUUGAGUUACUCAUUUUAUGGUUUUUAUUAUUUAUGAUAUCUGAUGAUGUGAUUUUAGUAAUAUUAAAACAAAAAUUUUUGGGUUGUAUUUUGGGUCAUUACAAGUUGGUAUCAAAGCCUUGGUUUGAGGGAUUUAAGCACACGUACGGGUAUCACUAAACUCAAACUAAGUAAAUAGUAAAAGGUUUUUGAAAGAAAAAUGUUUUCAAAAGAAUUUUUGAAAAAGAGACUUAAAAAUAAAAGAGUUUUGAAAACGAGAAAAGGGUGUGGUGCAUGCAAUCAGCCAAGCUCAAGUAAGUACUCCCAAAUUACCCAUACAAGUUUACAUUAUGAGUAUAUGUUUCAGUUUUAGUAGAACAGCAUGCUAGAAUAGGACUAAGGAUCUAGGGAGAUGCCUUAUGCGCCUGCUAUAUGUGUUUCAGCUUUAUGAGAAUUGCAUGCUAGUACUGAGUAGACAGCAGUAGGAUAGCCUGUUUAGGUUAUGCCUGAUAGUAUGAGCUUAGCAUUGUAUGCUAGUACAGUUUCUUGUUAUGAGGAUAGAGUUGCUUGAGUAGUUUCCUGUGUUCAAAUGCUGCUUGCUUUGUGCUUUGUGGGACUCCGAGUAAUGGGAGUUAUCCAUUAGGUGAAUACAUCACAUCGUAUGUGAUCAGGGUUGAAUAAUCUCAGAGUGUUGGAUUUGGCCCUACUACGAAGCUCUUGUUUCCAUGCUUAAAUCUCCAUUAAGACCCCAAUAUAAUAAUUUCUACGACAUUUCUUAGCUUGUUAGUGAAUAGAGAGCUCAUAUGAGCAAAAGGACAUCAGAUCUAGUCAUAAUCGAGCUCUAGAAGCUCAGAUCCACUGCCUUUAUUGAGUCAAAUUCGUAUGCAAGCCUAGAUCUACACUUUGAAUCCAUUUAGAGCCCUUUAAACUCUUGUAUAUGCAUGCAUGAACGUAAAGUUGGAAACUUUACGUGUAAAAACCACCCUAGGAACCCAGAUCUAUUAGUUGAAUGCGUUGGAAUCGAUCAAAAUCGUUUGUAUGGUAUUUGCAUGCAAGCGACUUGGCGAGUUGUUCAUCAGACUCGACGAGUCGAGUCGCGAGUCUCCGAUUUUCCCCCUUUUGAUUUAAUUGAGUGGAGCUAGUGUGUUAGAGGUGGACUCAGUGAAUCGAGAGCCGGACUCAAUAAUGGAAAGACUCGGCGAGUCAAUGCCCUAACUCGACGAGUCCAAGGAAUUCUUCUUGCCUCAAGAACCGACUCGACGAGUUGUUCAAAAAACUCGACGAGUCUCAGACCAGAGUGUUCUUAUGAUGAAGGAGAACUCGACGAGUUGGUCAUACAACUCGGCGAGUCAGAUGAAAAUAGACUGAUUAUUCGCAUCGAAGAGGAACUCGUCGAGUCUAUGCCAAACUCGACGAGUAGUAACGGACAGGAAUUAGAAAUGAGAGCAUGGACUCGACGAGUUGGCGUCCCAACUCGGCGAGUCAGGUCAACUGUAUGUUGACUUUGACCAUAGUGUUGACUUCCUCGAGGGGUAAGAUAUUCAUUUUACCCUCAGAUUAGUUAUCAGUAUUUGAUUGAGUGUGUUUAUGGGAAUUAUAGCCGGGGAGAUACCGGAGCAGCAGCAGAGUGUUCCCAAGUAGAUUUUUAGCAGCUAGCUUUCGAGGUGAGUUUCCUUCCAGUAGGAACGAGUCUACGGCCACAACGCCGGCUCAUUUAGUUAGCAGCGGUUCUGGACUUCGGUCCGAUGCAGUAGUUCAGGGUGCUUGAUGUCUUUGUGAUUCAAGCAUGUCUUUGUGUUAUGUGUUCCGGACUUCGGUCCGAUGCAGUAUACAGUAUAUGUGUUUAUGCUAGUUGAUAUGUGUUUAUGCUAUGCUAUGAUCAGUCAGUUCCGGACUUCGGUCCGAUGCAGGGGACAAGGUCCCAGUCAGUUCCGGACUUCGGUCCGAUGCAGGGGACAAGGUCCUAGUUAGUUCCAGACUUCGGUCCGAAGCAGAGGGCAAGUCCUUGGUUAGUUUCCGGACUUCGGUCCGAUGCAGUUUCCGAACUUCGAUCCGAUGCAGUAGGCAAGGCCCAGUAUGUGCUUUAUAUAUUAUUAUAUGGUAUGUGGUAGUUUGGGGGAGCUCACUAAGCUUUGUGCUUACAAUUUUCAGUUUUGGUUUCAGGUACUUCCGCUAGCAAAGGGAAGAGCUCGGGAUGACGGCGUCGCACACACCACAGCCUCAGUUUUAUCCUGGGAGUUUUAAUUGGAUAAUGUUAUGAUCGAUACAAUUUUUGUUUAGACACAGUUACUAUGACAUUUGAGUUACUCAUUUUAUGGUUUUUAUUAUUUAUGAUAUCUGAUGAUGUGAUUUUAGUAAUAUUAAAACAAAAAUUUUUGGGUUGUAUUUUGGGUCAUUACAAGUUGGUAUCAAAGCCUUGGUUUGAGGGAUUUAAGCACACGUACGGGUAUCACUAAACUCAAACUAAGUAAAUAGUAAAAGGUUUUUGAAAGAAAAAUGUUUUCAAAAGAAUUUUUGAAAAAGAGACUUAAAAAUAAAAGAGUUUUGAAAACGAGAAAAGGGUGUGGUGCAUGCAAUCAGCCAAGCUCAAGUAAGUACUCCCAAAUUACCCAUACAAGUUUACAUUAUGAGUAUAUGUUUCAGUUUUAGUAGAACAGCAUGCUAGAAUAGGACUAAGGAUCUAGGGAGAUGCCUUAUGCGCCUGCUAUAUGUGUUUCAGCUUUAUGAGAAUUGCAUGCUAGUACUGAGUAGACAGCAGUAGGAUAGCCUGUUUAGGUUAUGCCUGAUAGUAUGAGCUUAGCAUUGUAUGCUAGUACAGUUUCUUGUUAUGAGGAUAGAGUUGCUUGAGUAGUUUCCUGUGUUCAAAUGCUGCUUGCUUUGUGCUUUGUGGGACUCCGAGUAAUGGGAGUUAUCCAUUAGGUGAAUACAUCACAUCGUAUGUGAUCAGGGUUGAAUAAUCUCAGAGUGUUGGAUUUGGCCCUACUACGAAGCUCUUGUUUCCAUGCUUAAAUCUCCAUUAAGACCCCAAUAUAAUAAUUUCUACGACAUUUCUUAGCUUGUUAGUGAAUAGAGAGCUCAUAUGAGCAAAAGGACAUCAGAUCUAGUCAUAAUCGAGCUCUAGAAGCUCAGAUCCACUGCCUUUAUUGAGUCAAAUUCGUAUGCAAGCCUAGAUCUACACUUUGAAUCCAUUUAGAGCCCUUUAAACUCUUGUAUAUGCAUGCAUGAACGUAAAGUUGGAAACUUUACGUGUAAAAACCACCCUAGGAACCCAGAUCUAUUAGUUGAAUGCGUUGGAAUCGAUCAAAAUCGUUUGUAUGGUAUUUGCAUGCAAGCGACUCGGCGAGUUGUUCAUAAGACUCGACGAGUCGAGUCGCGAGUCCCCGAUUUUCCCCCUUUUGAUUUAAUUGAGUGGAACAUGUGUGUUAGAGGUGGACUCAGUGAGUCGAGAGCCGGACUCAAUAAUGGAAAGACUCGGCGAGUCAAUGCCCUAACUCGACGAGUCCAAGGCAAUCUUCUUGCCUCAAGAACAGACUCGACGAGUUGUUCAUACAACUCGACGAGUCUCAGACCAGAGUGUUCUUAUGAUGAAGGAGAACUCGACGAGUUUGUUCAUACAACUCGGCGAGUCAGAUGAAAAUAGACUGAUUAUUCGCAUCGAAGAGGAACUCGUCGAGUCUAUGCCAAACUCGACGAGUAGUAGCGGACAGGAAUUAGAAAUGAGAGCAUGGACUCGACGAGUUGGCGUCCCAACUCGGCGAGUCAGGUCAACUGUAUGUUGACUUUGACCAUAGUGUUGACUUCCUCCAGGGGUAAGAUAGUCAUUUUACCCUCAGAUUAGUUAUCAGUAUUUGAUUGAAUGUGUUUAUGGGAAUUAUAGUCGGGGAGAUACCGGAGCAGCAACAGAGAGUUCCCAAGUAGAUUUUCAGCAGCCAGCUUUCGAGGUGAGUUUCCUUCCAGUAGGAACGAGUCUACGGCCACAAUGCCGGCCCGUUUAGUUAGCAGUGGUUCCGGACUUCGGUCCGAUGCAGUAGUUCAGGGUGCUUGAUGUCAUUGUGAUUCAAGCAUGUCUUUGUGUUAUGUGUUCCGGCUUCGGUCCGAUGCAGUAUACAGUAUAUGUGUUUAUGCUAGUUUAUAUGUGUUUAUGCUAUGCUAUGAUCAGUCAGUUCCGGACUUCGGUCCGAUGCAGGGGACAAGGUCCCAGUUAGUUCCAGACUUCGGUCCGAUGCAGAGGGAAAGUCCCUGGUUAGUUUCCGGACUUCGGUCCGAUGCAGUUUCCGAACUUCGAUCCGAUGCAGUGGGCAAGGCCCAGCAUGUGGUUUACAUAUUAUUGUAUGGUAUAUGGUACUUUGGGGGAGCUCACUAAGCUUUGUGCUUACAAUUUUCAGUUUUGGUUUCAGGUACUUCCGCUAGCAAAGGGAAGAGCUCGGGAUGAUGGCGUCGCACACACCACAGCCGCAGUUUUAUCCUGGGAGUUUUAAUUGGAUAAUGUUAUGAUCGAUACAAUUUUUGUUUAGACACAGUUACUAUGACAUUUGAGUUACUCAUUUUAUGGUUUUUAUUAUUUAUGAUAUCUGAUGAUGUGAUUUUAGUAAUAUUAAAACAAAAAUUUUUGGGUUGUAUUUUGGGUCAUUACAAGUUGGUAUCAAAGCCUUGGUUUGAGGGAUUUAAGCACACGUACGGGUAUCACUAAACUCAAACUAAGUAAAUAGUAAAAGGUUUUUGAAAGAAAAAUGUUUUCAAAAGAAUUUUUGAAAAAGAGACUUAAAAAUAAAAGAGUUUUGAAAACGAGAAAAGGGUGUGGUGCAUGCAAUCAGCCAAGCUCAAGUAAGUACUCCCAAAUUACCCAUACAAGUUUACAUUAUGAGUAUAUGUUUCAGUUUUAGUAGAACAGCAUGCUAGAAUAGGACUAAGGAUCUAGGGAGAUGCCUUAUGCGCCUGCUAUAUGUGUUUCAGCUUUAUGAGAAUUGCAUGCUAGUACUGAGUAGACAGCAGUAGGAUAGCCUGUUUAGGUUAUGCCUGAUAGUAUGAGCUUAGCAUUGUAUGCUAGUACAGUUUCUUGUUAUGAGGAUAGAGUUGCUUGAGUAGUUUCCUGUGUUCAAAUGCUGCUUGCUUUGUGCUUUGUGGGACUCCGAGUAAUGGGAGUUAUCCAUUAGGUGAAUACAUCACAUCGUAUGUGAUCAGGGUUGAAUAAUCUCAGAGUGUUGGAUUUGGCCCUACUACGAAGCUCUUGUUUCCAUGCUUAAAUCUCCAUUAAGACCCCAAUAUAAUAAUUUCUACGACAUUUCUUAGCUUGUUAGUGAAUAGAGAGCUCAUAUGAGCAAAAGGACAUCAGAUCUAGUCAUAAUCGAGCUCUAGAAGCUCAGAUCCACUGCCUUUAUUGAGUCAAAUUCGUAUGCAAGCCUAGAUCUACACUUUGAAUCCAUUUAGAGCCCUUUAAACUCUUGUAUAUGCAUGCAUGAACGUAAAGUUGGAAACUUUACGUGUAAAAACCACCCUAGGAACCCAGAUCUAUUAGUUGAAUGCGUUGGAAUCGAUCAAAAUCGUUUGUAUGGUAUUUGCAUGCAAGCGACUCGGCGAGUUGUUCAUAAGACUCGACGAGUCGAGUCGCGAGUCCCCGAUUUUCCCCCUUUUGAUUUAAUUGAGUGGAACAUGUGUGUUAGAGGUGGACUCAGUGAGUCGAGAGCCGGACUCAAUAAUGGAAAGACUCGGCGAGUCAAUGCCCUAACUCGACGAGUCCAAGGCAAUCUUCUUGCCUCAAGAACAGACUCGACGAGUUGUUCAUACAACUCGACGAGUCUCAGACCAGAGUGUUCUUAUGAUGAAGGAGAACUCGACGAGUUUGUUCAUACAACUCGGCGAGUCAGAUGAAAAUAGACUGAUUAUUCGCAUCGAAGAGGAACUCGUCGAGUCUAUGCCAAACUCGACGAGUAGUAGCGGACAGGAAUUAGAAAUGAGAGCAUGGACUCGACGAGUUGGCGUCCCAACUCGGCGAGUCAGGUCAACUGUAUGUUGACUUUGACCAUAGUGUUGACUUCCUCCAGGGGUAAGAUAGUCAUUUUACCCUCAGAUUAGUUAUCAGUAUUUGAUUGAGUGUGUUUAUGGGAAUUAUAGCCGGGGAGAUACCGGAGCAGCAGCAGAGAGUUCCCAAGUAGAUUUUCAGCAUCCAGCUUUCGAGGUGAGUUUCCUUCCAGUAGGAACGAGUCUACGGCCACAAUGUCGGCCCGUUUAGUUAGCAGGGGUUCCGGACUUCGGUCCGAUGCAGUAGUUCAGGGUGCUUGAUGUCUUUGUGAUUCAAGCAUGUCUUUGUGUUAUGUGUUCCGGACUUCGGUCCGAUGCAGUAUACAGUAUAUGUGUUUAUGCUAGUUGAUAUGUGUUUAUGCUAUGCUAUGAUCAGUCAGUUCCGGACUUCGGUCCGAUGCAGGGGACAAGGUCCCAGUCAGUUCCGGACUUUGGUCUGAUGCAGGGGACAAGGUCCCAGUUAGUUCCAGACUUUGGUCCGAUGCAGAGGGCAAGUCCCUGGUUAGUUUCCGGACUUCGGUCCGAUGCAGUUUCCAGACUUCGGUCCGAUGCAGUUUCCGAACUUCGAUCCGAUGCAGUGGGCAAGGCCCAGUAUGUGCUUUAUAUAUUAUUGUAUGGUAUGUGGUAGUUUGGGGGAGCUCACUAAGCUUUGUGCUUACAAUUUUCAGUUUUGGUUUCAGGUACUUCCACAAGCAAAGGGAAGAGCUCGGGAUGACGGCGUCGCACACACCACAGGCUCAGUUUUAUCCUGGGAGUUUUAAUUGGAUAAUGUUAUGAUCGAUACAAUUUUUGUUUAGACACAGUUACUAUGACAUUUGAGUUACUCAUUUUAUGGUUUUUAUUAUUUAUGAUAUCUGAUGAUGUGAUUUUAGUAAUAUUAAAACAAAAAUUUCUGGGUUGUAUUUUGGGUCAUUACAAGUUGGUAUCAAAGCCUUGGUUUGAGGGAUUUAAGCACACUUACGGGUAUCACUAAACUCAAACUAAGGAAAUAGUAACAGGUUUUUGAAAGAAAAAUGUUUUCAAAAGAAUUUAUGAAAAAGAGACUUAAAAAGAAAAGAGUUUUGAAAACGAGAAAAAGGUGUGGUGCAUGCAAUCAGCCAAGCUCAAGUAAGUACUCCCAAAUUACCCAUAGAAGUUUACAUUAUGAGUAUCUGUUUCAGUUUCAAUAGAACAGCAUGCUAGAAUAGGACUAAGGAUCUUGGGAGAUGCCUUAUGCGCCUGCUAUAUGUGUUUCAGCUUUAUGAGAAUUGCAUGCUAGUACUGAGUAGACAGUAGUAGGAUAGCCUGUUUAGGUUAUGCCUGAUAGUAUGAGCUUAGCAUUGUAUGCUAGUAUAGUUUCUUGUUAUGAGGAUAGAAUUGCUUGAGUAGUUUCCUGUGUUCAAAUGCUGCUUGCUUUGUGCUUUGUGGGACUCCGAGUAAUGGGAGUUAUCCAUUAGGUGAAUACAUCACAUCGUAUGUGAUCAGGGUUGAAUAAUCUUAGAGUGUUGGAUUUGGCCCUACUGCGAAGCUCUUGUUUGAGUCUAACCAUUGUGGCGACGAGUCUUUUACUCGAAGGAUUAUCCGAGCCUCGUCAGAUGUGAUGGUAUUCAGGUGAUGACUAAUUGGUAUUACAAGGAGGCCUUCAGCGGCUGAGGGCUGGUUUUGGUCGAGUCAGAGAUUUCCCUAGGGCAAGCCUAGGAUGAGAGUAGGGGUUUCAAAAAAACCCGAACCCGAUUAACCCGACCCGAACCCGAACCCGAAUAAGGUAAUUAGGGUCGGGUUUAAUAGGGUCAGAACUCUUAAUCGGGUUAUUCAGGUUAACCCGACUAACCCGGAUUAUUAUUAGGGUCGGGUUUAGGGUUGAUUUUUUCAAAGCAAUUCGGGUUUCGGGUCAACCUGAAUAACCCGAUUAAGAAUUUAUUACCAAAACUUUUUUUUUAUUGCGUUGAAUGACAUGAAUUCAAGAUGCCAUGAGAUUUUAAAAGUAAUACAUAUUUAUUAUUUAAACAAACCAGGUAGUAAAAUUACUAUGUAUAGAGAUGUAUAAUAUGACAUAACUUUCCUCUCUUCUUAAUGCAGUACGGUUGUGUUGUAACAGUUUUACGAAUUUUAUUAACUGUUUACGUUACUAAUAUGGUAAAAGAAACUCCAAAAAUUCAUAUCGUAUACCAACUUUACAUUUUAAGUUCCUAUACAUGUGGAUUAUAUAUAAAAAUGGCACAACAUAAAUUCAUCUUACAUUUCAACUUCAACCCGACUAACCCGAUUAACCCAACCCUAAAACCCGAAACUCGGUUAGCCCGAACCCAGCUAACCCGUACCUUAUUAGGGUCGGGUUUCGGGUGAAUAUUUUUUCUAGAAAAACCCGACUAACUUGACCUGUUUAACCCGAAACCCAAUCGGGUUAACCCGAUUAACAGCCCUAGAUGAGAGUAGCAGAGAUCAGUAGCAGUAGUAGUGACUUGGUGGAGUCGAAGCAGUUCUUGAGGAAGGUACAGAUAGAUGUGGAAGGAGGUAGGGGCCCAUACUACUGGAAGCAGAGGAUCUGUACUUGAAUCAAGGAAGGCUGAGAUGAGACCGGGAAACCUAUAGUAGUAGCGAUCCCUUGAGAUAUAUCAGUGUUUCUGACGUUUAUCGUAAUGUGUUUUUAGAAUGGUGGUUUUACGCCCAAGACCAGCAGGAAACAAUUCAGGUGCCGGGGAGGGAUCAGGAUCAGGCUCGGGAGCCGAGCAGUUAGAUGAGCAGACUAGGGAUUUUUUCACUUUAGAGGUUACCCGUAUCAUACUUGAGCAGACUCUGGUGAUCUUUGGUUCGAUCAAGGAGGGUAUCUUAGAGUUGAUGGAUGAGAAGUUGAGCACGUUCCGCGCUGAGGUGGCGGCCAUGAUGGGGUCGCACACACACACCUUCAGGGAGUUCCGAGCUUGUGGAGCUCCAGACUAUCAUGGGGCGCGGGACCCCAUUGCGAGUACCAGGUGGUUGGCAGACGUUGCCAACGCUUUCCGCACGAGCAGAUGUCCCGAGGGGGACAAGGUCAAAUUAGGAUCCUGUCUUUUGAAGGACAGGGCACGUGACUGGUGGGAAGAAGUUGGGCAUGUCAUCGGGGAUGACGCAACGCUUGAGGCCAUGACUUGGGCUAAUUUUACUACCAGGUGUGACAUCCCCAUUUUCAUGGCCAGAAAAGACCGAUUUUGUUUAUGCUUUAUAAAAAUCAGAGUUCUUCUUUUAAUAAAAAUGUUGCGGAAUUUGUUCCCAGAAAAACACGAUAAAUACGUUAUUAAAACAUUUUCGAAGAAACGUAUUUUAUUCAUUUUAAAACGUUUGGGAUGUCAUCGUUAAUACAGAAACAUAAGCAUAAACAGAACUUACAUUUUCGAAGAAACGUAUUUUAUUCAUUUUAAAACGUUUGGGAUGUCAUCGUUAAUACAGAAACAUAAGCAUAAACAGAACUUACAUUUAUUUACACUAGUGAUUUACAUCUCUUUAAAUAUCUCAGUGUAAUGUGACUUCAUAUCAACACCUAUGAUAUAAAUAAACUGAGUGGGUCAGGUUGGGAAACUUGGUGAGUACAUGGGGUUUUCAACCCAUAAUUAUAUAAUUAUUAUGUUUAAACAAUCAAAUAAUCAACCCAAUUACCCAUCCCCAUUAUCUUCUUUACUCUUAAGGAUUUAUCCUAAGAGUCAUCUAUCCUACAUUCGUUUAUUCCUAAGUCCCUUACUUCCAGGGUUAUAGGACUGGCACUAAAUCCAUGGCUGCCAAUGUUCGUUCGUAAAGCACUAAUUCCAUAGUUGCUAUGGUCUACUCAUCGGGUACUAAAUCCAUAGCUACCAGUGUUCAAUAGGUACUAAGUCCAUAGCUACCAAUUCCUAACAGGUACAAAGUCCAUAGCUACCAGCAUCUAAGUAAUAGGUACUAAAUCCAUAGCUACCAAUUCCUAACAAGUACNAAUCCAUAGCUACCAAUUCUUAACAGGUACUAAGUCCAUAGCUACCAGUGUUUGUCCAAUAGGCACUAAGUCUAUAGCUGCCAAUGUAUACUCUCAUCAUCUUAUAUCUCUCAUCAUUCAUCUACCCAUGUCAUACCCAACAUAUUCGUAUAUAUAAAAUACAUAUACAGUUUAAAUCAUUUAAAACAUGUAUAAAACGUUCAUCCAGCAUAGACAGCAAGUACUCAAAUAAUAUGCACACUUAACAUGUAAUUUAUAUAAAAUACUUCAUAUCUAUGUGUAAGAUGAAAGUAACUAUGCACUCACCUGAGUAGGUGGUGACUCAGCACUCGGACAGCGCUUCGAUACUCUUAAAACAAUUUUCCUUCGAUAAAACCUAGUACCAAUACCACUAGGGUUUAGUCUAACGAUAACCGCGACAAAUUAAUAGUCUGACUAUUAUUAUUAUUAUACAAGCGUUAAUAACACUCAAUAUAACUCAUAAUAAUAGCCCAAAUAAUUAUUUUAAAGACCUAAUAACAUUACUAUAUAGAAACAUAAGCUACGCUAAAGAUAGGGUAAGCGUAGCUCACUUACAUCGGGUUUUCUCGAAAAUCGAGCUUUGCUUGAGUAGCGUUUCCGAGCCAAAAUACCCUUUUUCUCGGGACUCCGGGAGCCUCGGGGCUUCCUUCGGGUGCUAGGGGUUUACCUAGGCUUUAGGGGGCUUAAGGGAAGUUAGAGAGAGAAAGAAUGUUGGAGAGGUGUGAAGAGAAGUGAAUGCCCGACACCACUAUUUAUAGGGGUGCUGACUGACCUACUUGCCGAGUAGGAGGACCUACUUGCCGAGUUGGUGCAUGUGGCAACCUUCUGGUGGUGCCACGUGUCCAAUUCUGGUUGUGCCACGUCACCCCUUAUCGCGUAUCAGCCUUCAAACUUAGAAAAAUCAUAACUCUUGCAUACGAGCUCCGUUUUCGAAGUUCUUUAUAUCCACGCGUAGGUAAAAUCAAGAUCUAUAACUUUCGUUUAGACUCCGUUGGCUAAUUCUGGACCGGUAUCAAAUUUAACAAUAGGAGGCGUUUAGACUGUUAAAUGACCUCGAAGAAUUCGUAACUCCUUCAUACGGAGUCCGUUUUCGUCCAUCUUUUUACCGUUGAGUUCCUAUUAAUGAGAUCUUCAACUCUCAUUUAGGUCGCAUAAGCCAAAAACCGCUCGAACUAAAAUUCGAGUUUCGGGCUGUACAUUGCUAAGCCGAAUCUUAGAAAAAUCAUAACUUCUUCAUAUGAAGUCAGAUUUGGGCGUUCUUUUUAUGGAUUUUAUCGGUUUAACAUAUUCUAUGACUUUCGUUUAGAUCACUAAGGCUAAAUCUCGCUCUAUCGUAAAUUCACUUUUUACGCUUCCCGGUGCCGUGCCGGUUCCGUCGCGAAACUUCGAGGGUCAUAACUUCUUCGUUAUAACUCGGAUUUCGGUGUUCUUUAUAUGUAUGGAAACCUUGUGACAUACACUAAAACUUGGUUCAAAUUAUUUAUUCUAAAUAAUCUUUUGUCGAAAUGACAUUUUCGACCCCUAUUAUCUCUAAAUUGACUAGCCCGGAUCUACGGGCGUUACACCAGGUUCAGAGCCGAGUUUGCACCAGUUAUUGAGGUGCAACAGUUAGCCAGAGAGUUCCAUGAUAUUACUCAGACUACAGAGAUAGUGGCAGAGAUUACUGCCAAGUUCAGGGAGAGGGCUCUUCUUGUUCCUCAGUACGCAGCUGAUGAGGAAAUGAAGAAGGGCCGAUAUCAUGAGAUGUUGCGGAAUGAUAUCUGCCAGUUUGUGAGCCGGUCCAGCUGUAAAAUGUUGGAUGAUAUGAUUGCAAGGGCUCAAGAGAGAGAUUGAUUUAGAGAUGGAGAGGAAGAGGAAGCCAGAGACAGUAUCUGGCACAGGGAGUUCGGACAAAAAGCCCAAGGUAUCAGAUCACAGAUCUAGAGGACAGCAGAGCCAAAUUCGGUGUGGCAAGUAUGGGAGAUUGCACGAUGGGGCAUGCAAGGCAGGGAGUCCAGGUUGCUACAAGUGCAGCCGGAUCGGACAUAUGAGCAGAGAUUGUACAGCUACUCCCACCAUUACCGCAACAUCUGAUCUGAUUUGCUUCCAUUGCAAUCAGAGGGGACAUAAAAAGUCCCAGUGCCCGAACUUAGCAGCAAUAGGGAAGGUGUCAGCACCUGCCCCUGCUACAUUGAGGAUUACGGACGGUCGUUAGGGCUGGGCCGAGGCGCCAGUGGCGAAGAGUAGAGCUUUUCAGAUGACAGCAGAGGAGGAGCGAGCGACUCCUGACGUGGUGACGGGUAUGUAUUUUCCUUUUAUCUCUGCAUUUAUUAUUGAUUGUUUCUAAUGUUUUAUGUUUGCGUAUAGGGUCGUUCUUAGUGAAUGACAUUUUAGCUACAGUGUUAUUUGAUUCGGGGGCUACCCGAUCAUUUGUCUCUCUUGCGCUUAGCAAGUGGUUUAGCAGAGCUCCAGGGGAGCUGGAUUGUCCACUCGAGGUGGAGGUAGCCGAUGAUAGGACCGUCGGGGUCGUGAGAGUGCACAAUGCAUUCUCGCUGCAGCUAUUCGAUGAGCAGUUUUCAGUAGACCUGGUCCCUAUUCCUUUGUGAGGGAACAAGGUCAUAGUAGGCAUGGACUGGCUGAGCCCCAAUGGGGCGAUGAUUGAUUGCGAGUUGCAGCAAGUGAGGGUUUGCACUCCCAGCGGGGGAGAGUUAGUGAUUCAGUACGAGAGGCCACAGCGCGGACCGAUUCUUUUUUCAACAGCUAGAGCGAGACGCUACUUCCAGCAGGGUUGCGCAAGGUUCAUCGUCUACGUUUUGGAUGCUCGGGAGAAGGGCAAGGUGACAGUCGACGAUGUACCGGUAGUGCGAGACUACCCGGACGUAUUCCCGGAGGAUCUGCCUGGGAUACCUCCGGAGAGACAGGUUGAGUUCAAGAUUGACUUGGUUCCUGGUGCGACUCCUAUAGCUAAGGCAUCGUAUCGGUUGGCUCCUCCAGAGAUGCAGGAGUUGUCUAAGCUGCUGCAGGAGCUGCUAGACAAGGGUUUCAUCAAACCGAGUAGUUCACUAUGGGGAGCCCCGAUCCUGUUCGUGAGAAAGAAGGAUGGGUCGCACCGUAUGUGCAUAGAUUACCGGGAGUUGAACAAGGUAAUAAUGAAGAACCGUUACCCACUCCCGAGGAUAGACGAUGUUGAAAGAAAAACUUUGAGACACACUUGAACAAAAGUUAGAACAAGUAUAUUGUGGAAUAGUUAAUCUCGAAGGAUCUAAUAACUCAACAAUAAUAUUUAAGUUAGAUGAUUAGAGAGUUAGUUGCGGAAAAUAAAUAAAUGAAAAUGACAACAAUUGUUAUAUCAAGUAUACACGUAAGUUGAUUCAUAACGAGGAAUGCAUUCAAGCCAAGUUAAUAAGUGAGAUUAAACCUAGUGAUUAAGUCACAAAGGACUUUCUCCGAAGAUAGAUUGUAACCAGUUAUGAGAGAAUAUGUAAUGUGAAUAAGUAAGAAAGAGAUAGACAGGAUAAAUCCAGAGAUAUAUAUAUUAGAAAUUGAUAGAUGCGUAUGUGUUACAAAGAGAAUGAGCUCUAUUUAUAGAGACUCAAGAGUUACAUCAGACUCACUCUCUAAGAGUAGCCAUGAAAGGCAUACUGGACAAUAGAGAGGAUUGUAGUAAGACAAAACAAACUGAAUAAUAAAGAGAGAUUGCGGUUCGUUCAGACUUCGGUUGCGGUGGCUAGGAAGAGAUCUUGACUGCGGGUGAACUUAUAACUGCGGUAGCCAAAAAGUUCAAGAGGGUCACUUUUUAUGAUUCAACAAUUUCCCCCUAAGUGACCUCUUUAACUUCCGAUCAUCUAUCAAGUUGAAGAUACUUGAUCAAAAUCCACCAAAACUUCCUGAUGUUCUCCAACCUGGUGAUCCUUCUCAAAAUUUCGAACUUGACCUCUACGGUAGUGAACUUAGAUUUUUCAACUGCGAUUUUGCAGAUGUCAAGUUGCUUCCUGGUGAGCCGAUGCAUGGCAGUUAUAGGAAUGAAGUAUUUGACAUUGUCGGUCUUCCUUUUGAAAAUGAUGCCAAGAUCAGGGAAGUUGGUUGCACCUAAUGAUCUGUCUUCAAAACUUUUGGUGGGCAUUGGUGCGGGGUUGAGCGGUGGCAGAUCAAACUUCUUGGAAAUGAUGGGAUGGAUGUCCGCGUCAAUUUUGGCAAAAUCACAGACAGUUCCCUUCAAGAAGAUGUUGGCCCUUUCAAGUGCAAUCUUCAUCUUCGGAUGCUUCUUUGUUUUGUUCUGAAACACCUUUGCGAUGAGAAAGACUUCCUCCGGAUUCAUGCAAGGGAAGUCCGCCUGGGAGCAAACAUAGUCAUGUCCCCUUCUGGUGAGGGUAUACUGGAUGAACUCUGCCUUCAUAAACUUCCGAACUUUGAAGUUUAUGACUGAGGAUGGUGUGUCGUUGGACCAUAUAUGUUGUAUGGGAGAGGCAUGCUUAGCAUGAAAGCGACUUAGUCUUUCAAAUUCCAUCGGCAGUCGUUGGGCUUCGGGAAGGCUGAGAUCAAAAUACUCAAACACUGUGAAGUAUUUGGAAUUUGGGGAGAUUGGAACAUCCCAGUAACCAUCCGGAGGGGGUUCAACAUAAGUGAUGUGCGGUCUGUAAUCUUCAUCCAGCAGCCUGCGGUGAGGAUUGAUCCAGGAGUUUAUCAAGGAUUCAUCGAUUGAAGUAUCAAAACAACAUUCAUUCCAGAUGAUCUCUGCAAGCUUAGAUGCCUUCCAAUAUUUUUUCUUUUGAGCUAUGGCAGGGGUAUCAUUUGAGCUCGGAGAUGACAUGAAAUCCGCAAGGUUUUUGAUAUGAGGGGGAGUCUUUGGUUUUUCUGGAGUGUUUUCAAAUGGCGGUGGAGAGUUGUGAGGUGGAGUGUGAUGGGAUGGUUGAGGUGAAGGUUGUGGUGUAGCAAUAUUUUCAGUAGGGAUAGGUGAAGUUUGAUGUUGUGAGAUAGAUUGAUUGGAGUGAUGGAAUUCUUAUUCGUUUCCCCCUCUAGAGGAGUUUAGACUCGGAGCCUCCUCAAGCCAUUGACGAAGGCCAUCAACUUUGGCAAACACUUCUUGGAAUUUGGCAUUAACGGCUUCGGCCAGUUGUUGAUUGUUGGGGAUAGAGGGGUUGAAGAGUAGCUUGUGGAUCUCCUUGAUGAGAUGAAGAAUUUCAGGACCAUGGAAAUUUGCAGUCAAAGAACGCUGUAGACGGUUGAUAGUCGAAUGAAGAACGGAGAUUGCAGACUCAUAAGUUGUGUGAGUCUCAGCGAUCAGUUUUUCAGAGUUGGAGGCUUGAUCACCCAGACGUUUUUGCCGUCUGGUUCGGGGAUGUGACAUAAAUAGUAGUGAGCGAAGCAUCGAAGGAGGCAAUAUGGUUGAAGAAGUUCAUUGGAGACCUCGGAGUUGUACCAACCAUAUAGGAGCCUCUAACGUCCCAAAAUUCAAGACUAAAAUUUCUUUUAUAAAACAUCACUUAAAACAUAAUUUUCAAUCCAUAACAUAAACAGAGUAUUAAUUUCCAAAACAUAUGUUCGUUAUCAGAGUAAAACAUCCCAGGCUGUCUAAUCUAUGGUGUGUGCCAUGCGAUCACCCCGAGCUCUUCCCUUCGCUACCGGAAGUACCUGAAACCAAAACUGAAAACCUUAAGCACAAAGCUUAGUGAGUUUCCCCAACCUACCACAUACCAUGCAUAACCACAUAUUGCACAUACUGGGCCACGCCCGCUAUUCAGGGCCUCGCCCCCUACCUCGGGCCUCGCCCGCNCCCCCCCCCCCCCGGGCCCCCCCCCGCCACACCCCCCCCGCCGCUCCAGGCCCCGCCUGGCUUCGAGCCCCGCUCGGACACAAAUCUGUUUCACUUAGGCCUUGCCUAUCACUGGGCCUCGCCCUCUAACAUAUAAUAGCACAUAAACAUAUCACAACACAUAAGCUAAAUAUAUACUAAUGGAUCUUGUCCUAAGGCCUCACCUAUCCUGGGCCUUGCCCUUGUCCUGCUACUGAUGAGCCAUGGAACCCCAUCCACGCUCCGACUGAUAGUGAGUUACGGGCCCAUCCCACACUCACUCUUUNUCGCCCCUGUUCUACUGCUAAUGAGAUGUGGAACACCAUCCACACUCUGCUAUUGGUGAGAUAUGGGACCUCACCCACACUCACCUCCCUACCAGGCACAUACAUGUAUCACACAGACAACAAGUAUAAACUAUCACAUAAAUCAUUCCUUGGGCACCCACCCGCUAUCAUUGGACCUCGUCCUGAAUAUCAUACUAGCAUACUGUGCCUAGGUCUAACCCCCGGGUCUUCUACUCAUAACUACAUGGGUCGACAUUGUGGCCUUAGACCCAUUCAUACAAAGGGAAACUCACCUGCACUUGCUAAACUUGCCGAUAACCCCUCUAGCUGCUGCCCGGUAACUCUCUGAACUCUGCUCCACUAGCUCCCCGAGCUACCAAUAUCAAUGCAACACUUAGUCUAACUGUUCUCCGAAAGUCAACUAAGUCAACUCUGGUCAAAGUCAACCUUCCAGGUCAACCCUACUCACUGAUUCUACCUACUAACUCGCCGAUUUCAUAUGCUCAGAGUCCUUCCAUUCGCGACUCGACUCGCUGAGUCAGUCCAUGACUCGCCGAGUCCACCGAUUUCCGAGUCCUGACCUGUCCAACUCACCGAGUCCCCACUCAACUCACUGAUCCAAGUCUUAACUUGAAGGGUUUGGGAUUUCGCGACUUGACUCGCCGAGUCCAAGAACAAACUCACCGAGUCCAAGGCAAUCUUCAAUAGACUCGCCGAGUUGUUCUUCCAACUCGCCGAGUCCACCCGUGUGACUCGUCGAGUCUCUCCAGUUCUUAAUCCAUUCAGUGGCUUUUCGAGCCAUGCAGGGGCUCCAAAUAAUAGAUCCAUACUUCCAAAGCCUAUUCCUCACGUAAAGUUGCAAACUUUACGUGUAGCUAAGGAGAUCUAGGCCCAAAACACUCCAUACUCUGGUUUAAGACAACCAUGCUUCACCUACACCCCCAAGACUGAUACUUUAUGACUCUCUAGGCCAGAAUACACUUAGAUCUGAAGUAGCAACUUCAUAUCUAGACUUCUAACUCCAAUUGGCUCUUGGACAUGGCAUAAAAGCCCCAAAUAUCAUGACAACAAGGAAACUAUGAGCAAAGGAGUGAAGGUAAUGACUUCUUACCUUUAAAUGCUCUGAAAAGUCACACCAACACUAGAUCCAAGGCUUCCUCUUGCACCACUAUGAACUUCCUUCUCUUCCAAGCUUCAAAUCACAAUACCAAGGCUAGAUCUUUGCUCAAAAACGGAUAUGGUGGCUAGGGUUCGAGGUUCUGGAUGAGGGAAGUUGUAAAGGAACCCUAAGGAAGAGAAUGAGGUGCUUAAAUAGUGCACAAAGUCCCGAAUUUAGGGUUUCACUCUUCAGACCGGACUCGCCGAGUUCAUUCUCCGACUCGCCGAGUUGGUCACUUACUCCUCGACCCGGAUCCCGCUCGGACUCGCCGAGUUCCUCCUUCGACUCGACAAGUCGGCCCUUUAACUUAGGGUUUUCCUUUCCUUUCUUGGUCUUUCUGAUUAAGGGUGUUACAGAGCCUGUGGAGAUUUUCUGUAAUAACGAAUGAGUGAUUGCCUUAACUGUUACACCCCCGAACCAGAACGGCGGAAACGUCCGGAGGCGGGUGACGUCAUUAUGAUGUAUCAUAACAAUUGAAUAUAAAUGAAACAUAGCAAAUACAAACAUCAUACAUUAAGAUAACAAACUUACAUUGUAUUACAUCAUGUUUAUGUUCUCAAAUUACACAAAAGAGACAUUAGUGAGUAAGUUCCAAACUACAACAAAAUAAUCCUGAAGUUCGCGCCCCCAUUAACCUGCUUACUGAUUUCCUGAGAAUACAAGUCGUUUGAAAAGCGUCAAGAGGGUAUCGUCAGAGGAGAACCUAGCAGACCCCCUCACAAAGGGUCUAAGCAGGGUUAAGCAUUACAACAUGCGAGGAGCAUUGGUCUGAAGGACGAUAUUAGUUUUAGUGAUUAGAUAGUUGCUUAGAAAGUUGUAAUAGAUAAAAUGUAAUUGACAUUUGAUGAUUAAAAAAAAGGAGUUUUAUUUAUGAGUAAAGUUACUAUCUUGUGUCAAUUAUUUAAUAUUGCUUCACUUUUGCAUGUUUUGACUUCCUGGAUAAUAGGAUUAUUCGAAUUAUCCACAGUCAACGAUACUUUGGAAGUAAGUUAUGAGGUUAGACUGUCAUGAAUUGGUUUGUAGAUUGUCUAAGUGUUUAGACAUAGCAAAGGUUUGCUGCAACGUUCAUGAGUACUUACAAAAUAAGAUUUGAGUAUUGGAUUAAAACCACACUCAUUUGAAUCACUUCAUGGAAUUUAUCACGAGUGAUUGUGAGACGAUAAUAUCGUAUAAUCUUUAAACCGAGAUAUGUGAGUUGUUGUUUACAAGUUGGUUGUGCAUUGAUAAUGCGUAAACACAUCAGUAACUUGAUGUUAUAAAACAUGUUGCUGUGUACGAUUUGAUGAGUAAAUAGUACAAGCAUAUAAGUCAAAGUCUAUAUGUUCCUUUUAUCCUAAGAGGGUAAAAGCGAUAUCUUAGGCCCCUCGAUGAUUUUGUGUUGACUUAUGUGUCGGGCCUUGUUAGGACUGAAUUGAUGUGUUUAAUCAAGUUCUAUGUCAAACAAAUCAGAAGUCGGGAAACAAACUAUUGGACAGUGACAAUGAUUAUGUUCCAUGUCUUUGUCCACAUGAUAUCUUGCAAAACGGAGGAUUAUAUGAUCCCUUAUCUAAAGGACGCGUCAUUGACUAGGUCAAAGUUCGACAUCGGCUUUUGAGAGCUACGAUUGCUAACCGGAUUUUGAAGUGGUAUUUAUAGUUAUAGUUAUUAGACUUAUCCAAGUGGGAGACUAUUGGAUUAGGUGUCUCAGCCCAUAACUAUAAUUGGGAUGUACUUGACCCAAUGGUAGCAUGGUCCUUUUGGGUUGCCUUCACCAUAACAAUUUGAUAGGAUGAAUUAUGGAGAAAGAGGUUAAUUGUGAUUUAUUAAUGUAUUAUAAGAAUAAUAUAUUAAACUGAGAAAUCAUAUUAUUUAAUUAGUAUUGAUUAGAAAUUAAUUUGUAAUUAAUUCGGUGUUCAAAAGAGACUGAUUAAAUUAUAGGUUGAUGUUGCAAUUAUAUGAUAGUUGCAAGUUGGGCUUGUGGAUUCCUACGAAGGGGUGGACGAAAUUCUAUGUGUAGCCCACAUAGAUUUCGUCUAAAGGGGGGCUUUCUGGAACGAUAUAAUCGAUUGUUUAAGGCUUAAGCAAUUAGAUUAGGGUUUUACCUGAAACUCUAGCAACUCAGCUAUAUAAGGAACCCAUUGGCUUCUUGAAAUCGACCAAUGCAUCAAUCAAGAGAACCAUAUCCGAUUUUAGAGCCUCACCAUCUCUUUCAUAUUCUUCCAAUUGUUACUUGGUGUUUGUAACUCAAUAGAGGUGCAAAAUUUGAGGCACUAAGCUCUUGAACGUUAAGAUCUAUAAGCUACAAGGAAAAGGUAUUCAUCUAACUUUGUUUUAUGUUAUAAAUCUCGAAAAUUGUAUGCUAGAUAGGUUCAUGCUUUCGAUAAUUGAAAUUUCAUGUAUAACUUGAGAAAAACCUAGAUCCAAAGCAUUAGGGUUGCAUGUACACCAUAUGAAUGUUGUAAUGCUCAAAACCCAUCACGAAAAUCCUAAGGGGUAUAAGUCUAUUUAUAAUAUACUACAAGGGUUCUCUGGAUAACCCUAAUCUAAAUAUAAUAUUAAUAUUUCAAAUUGGUAAUUAACCAGCUCCUUAAUUAUCCACGUGGGAUAAUCUACAAACCCUAGAUUAUCCAUAUAGAAUUCGUCUACCCUUUCCCUAGGAAGGUUCUACAACCUCUUGUUCAACUAUUGAACAAUAGCACUUUAGACACUGCACUUUUAAUUAUUUCUUUUAAUCCCAAAAUUAAUUCCAUUUAAUUUCUUAUUAAAUAUUGCUAUUUCUAAUUAAUAUAUUAUUCUUAUAAUAUAUUAACAAAUCAUUAAUUUCAGUUUAUUAAUCAAAUAAUAAAUCCAACCUCUCUCUCCAAAGGUCAUCAUGUCUAGUUGUUAGUUUUGAGAGCAACCCAAAAGGACUGUGCUACUAUCAAUUUAAGUAUAUAUCAAUUAUAGUUAUGGUCUUAGACACAUAAUCCAAUAGUUUACAUGGAAUAGAUCAAUAAAGUUGGCAACUUUAUGGUCUCUAAGGGUCCCUUGAGAAUUAAAUCAUAUGGAUCUGAAGUUUAGUUGUGAUUUAUGAAUCUUGCAUGUGUUUGUGUAAGGAUAGUUUGGUUAGUUUUGUAUGUACUCUUCGUAUGUUUUGAUAUCUAUUUUACUAAGGCAUUUUAUAUGAAGCUUUGAUGUCUAUUCCUUAGUAUAUUUUUUUGUACGCUUUUACUCUCAUAUAAAUAGGAGUCUUUACUAGAGUUAGAUAAGGUUUUACAGUCUUAUCUACUUUUGUACUCUGUAAACCUAAAGCGUAAUAUAGAGCUGAAUCACGAUCUUAUUUACAUCGGUGUUAAAUAUUUCAUUCAAUUUCUGAUUACUUACUCUGAUUCAGAUUCAAACUCGAUUCUUAGAUUCUACAAUUGGUAUCAGAGCAGGAAUCAUAUCUCUGAUCUAAUUUUCAUCUUUUCAAAAGUUUUUGAAUCAAUUUUUGGUUUAAAAGUUUCCACACUUUUUGAAAAGUGAAAAGUUCAUUGGAUCUAAGUUUGUGAUUCGAUUCUACACUUGAAUUGUUGAAUUGAGUGUUCUCCUAGUUGUUUCAAUUUGAAUCAACUAGUUUGUUGUUAAAAAUCUCAAGUUUUCUUCAAAUUCUCAAAGUUUUCUUUCGUACAACAAUGGCGUCAUUCACUUAAUUCCAUGACUUCAUUCUCUCAUUUGUUGGAAUCAUCACAAAAAAAUUCCAAUGCUAAUUCCUGAGUAUUACGAUCAGUGGGCUGAUCGUAUUGAGGAUUAUCUCAAUGGUUUCGAUGAAGAACUGUGGACUUUUAUUUCUAGUAAUAUCAAUCCUCCAUCAAAUGUUCAACCACUUGGAGCGUCUUCUGCAAGUUCUGGAGUAGAGAAUCAAACUCAACGUAUGAAAAAGAUGGAGAAGAAAUGCAUGAGAGAGCUGAGAGGAGCUUUGCCUCCAGUUGUUUACAAUUAUGUGAGUAGUUGUAAAACUACAAAGGAAAUCUGGAACAACCUAAAGGAGAAAUUUCAAGGAAGUGAGAAGACAAGGGUUAAUUCUGUGAAACAAUGUUUGGUGGAAUUGAAAGACUUCAAAUAGAAAGAAAGUGAAACAAUAGAGGCGUAUUACGAUCGUCAGAAUGAAUUGAUCUGUCGAUGCAAUCGAUAUGGAAUCACCAGAUCAGUCAUGGAGUUCAAUCUCAUCUUUGUUAUGGGUCUGAGAAAGGAGUGGCGAAAUGUCAGCAUGAUGGUCAAAAAUCAACAAAGCUUUGAUACGUCAACUUUGAAUGAUAUGUACAAUCAGUUAAAAUCACACGAAAAUGAAGUGAACGAAAUUGCUGAAGAAACGAAGGCAAGCUUGGGAGGACCAUUAGCUUUGGUUUCAACAAUGACUGAGAAAGAAGUUCAUGAGAAAAGUGAUAUUGAUGGAGAAGAGGGAUUCAUCAUGAAUUCUAGUGAUGAAGCAAUAGCAUUUUAUUCAAACAAUUGAGUCAAAAAGUUCUUCAAAAAGCCAUUCAAUUCGAAGAUCAAUUCAUCUGAGAUCAAAGGAAGUUUUGUGAAUAAAACUGCAAGGGAUGAGAAAAAGAAGGAGGAGAAGAAGGAUGCAAAGAAUGUUGAGGGAAAGAUUGAGAAGAAAUUGAAAGGAGAUACUGGAGUAGACUGUCACUACUGUAACGGUGCCAAUCAUUUAGCCAAUGAUUGCAUGUUGAGGAAGAAAUAUGAGAAGAAAAAUAAGGUAAAAGAUAAAGCUUACUAUGCUGAAAGACUGGAAGAGGUUCGUGCGAAGGCAAAGAAAUUGUCAUUGGUUGCCAUGGGAGAACAAGAUGAUGGUGGAACUUAUCAAGUCUGGUCAUCUGGAUCAGAUGAUGAGGAGAUGCGAAAUCCAACACAUUGACUAAUGUUUGCGAAGAUUGAGGAGGAAUCGGAUGAGGAAGCAUACGAAGUUAAAAGAAGAUGCUUCGUAUCAAAGGAUGCAGACAAAUCUCCAAUGACAACAAAGGUACGCAACAUUCUUGAAUCUUUUAAUAUUCCAGUACAUGCUUAUAAUUUUGAAUUGGUAUCUUUUGAUGAAACUGUUACUUAUUUUGAUUCAAUUGUGGUGUCUGCUAGCAAUGAGGCUAAGAAGCUUUCUAUAUAGUUGUUAGAGACAGAGAAGAAGUUCGAAUUGAAAAACACAAAAGUAGAUUGUUUAGAACUUCAAAUUAUAAACAUUAUGAUUGAUAGGGAUAAUUUGGCAAGUGAAAUAAAAUUGUUGUUAGCACAAAGAAACAUUUAUUGUAAUUCAGCUAAAAGAUUGUAUGGGAAAUUAACAGAAUUGCAUCAUUCUUGUGAGAUAAGUAAAGAACAACAUAGAAAGUUAUUGCCUUUUUUAGCUUACGAAAGAGCUAAGGUAGAUAAUAUUUCGUAUGAUUGUGAGAAAGAAAUAGUUGAAUUUGACAAAAUUCCUGAUGAUAGAUAUAGAUAUGGAAUAGUCAAAGUAGAUGAAUGUCUUGUGCUAAUGAAUUAGUUGAAAUUGUAAAUGAUACUUUGACUAAGUCUGAACAAAUUCACAUUUUGAAAAAGACUGAAACUUCAACAUCUGAUGUUCAAUCUAAUUUUGCUGAUAUUGAAGAUAAUUCUAAUAAUAUCAAUGAAAUUAGUGAUCUUGAGGAUGUUUAUUGUUCUCAGUUGUCUAUUACUAAUGUUGCAUCUUCAUCUAAAGGGAAAGAAAAAGUUAAUGAUUUGUUGGUUAAGAAUGAUACUAAUCAACCCUCAACUUUGGAAGUUUAUGAUUUGGACUUCGUGGAAAUCAGAGACGGUCAAACAGAUGAUAGUGAUGAUGAAAAAGAUGAGCAACAUUCGAAGGAAAAGGUAUUUUCAAAGAGUGAAAAAAUUCCUCGAAUUGUAGUUGACCAGGUGUAUGGUGAUACACAAAAGUAUGAAAAAGUGUUGAAAGAACAAGGCGCUCUUUAUCUUGAAACAAAUACUGUGGUGUAUCCAAUUUUCAAGUGUUCAGAUGAUGUCGUGUUUCCAAACCAAGUGUUCGUAACAACUGGAAAUAUUGAAAAUGUUAUACCAGAAUUCAAGAAAAUGGUGGAACAAGACAAUUUGAAAACAUCAGAUGAAGGGUUCUUCACAAAUCAAAGCACAGUUGAAAAGAACCUAACGCAGAAUUCAUAUGUUUUCCAAAAACAAAAAUCUCAGAGAAAAUGGGUUGAAAAAUCAAAACCUGAAAAAGAAGUCACGAAACCAAUUUUUGAGGAAACAAAAAGUGGAGUCAAAUUAAAUUCAAAAGAAUUUAAAGAACAAAUUGAAAAAUUUUCAAAAUAAAAUAAUGUUUCAAAAUGACAAGCACGAAAGAAAAUAUUUUGGCAAACAAUCGAGUCUAGAAAAACGUCAACUGAUUUGUCAAAAACAGUUAAGUCUGUGAGUUCAAACCAUUAUUUAGACAAAAAGAAAACUCCUGCUUAUUCAAGCAAAAAUGUGUCUGAAUCAACGUCCUCAAAAUAUAUUUUCAAAGUGAAAAAAUCAUCUUUUUCAAAAGUAAACCAAGUUUAUAUUCCAAAAAUUCAUACUAAGUUUGAAGUGAAAACAACCCCAAAGUUUUCGAAAGUGUCAAAAUCCAACAUUUCAAGCAAGAUUUCUGAUAAUUCAUUGAAUUUUAAUUCAACAAAGUUUUUUUCUCCACGUCAACAUUUUAAAUCAACAGUUGAUACUUCCUAUGCUGAAUCAUUUGUCUCAAAACCAAAAAUUGAUUUUGUUCCUCAAAAGCCAAAUUUUCCUAAUCAUACGAAGAAACAAACAUUGAAAGCUUCGCAUGAAAAAGGGAUCACUUCACGAAAGAAUAUUGAUCACUGGCUCGAAGGAAGAGGAAGAAUUUAUCAAUCAAGUAAAUAUUCGAAAGAUCAAAUCAACGAAGCUUAUGAGAAGUAUGUAAAUACUUCUUAAAAUGGCAGUUCGUCAUCAAAGGAUUCGAAGAUUGUGGUAAAAGCAUGGAAACCAGUCAUAAAAGAGAAGACUGAACAAUCACAAACUCAGAAUCCGAAGGGUGAUAUAAGUAAUCAUACGAAACAAACAAAACUUUAUGUUUCAAUCCCUACAAAUGAAGAUGUGGACAUUAUUAAUAGUCUCAAAACUAAAGUUUGUGAUUUACUCAACAAUUAUUCUUUCAAAUCAUUGUUGAAAUGUAAUUUCCAAGGACCCAAAAAGCCUUGGGUACCUAAAUUCUUUCAAUGAUCGCAGGUACUUUGUGAUGAGCAAUAUGAUAAUAAAUGGUACAUCAAUAGUGGUUGCUCUCGUCACAUCACUGGGAAGAAGGAGAAUCUUAGAGACUUUCGAAGCUUGAAAUAUGUUGGAGUUGUUAAAUUUGGUAUUAAUCAAAAGUGUCAAGUCAAAGGAUAUGGGAAAAUCACGAAUGGAAAAUUCACAGUGAAUCGAGAUGCUUAUGUUGAAGGUUUACAACACAACUUGAUAAGUGUAUCACAACUUGUGGUAGGCACUGGAAAUCAAAUAUUUUUUAAUGAAGAAGGAAGCAUUAUUUCGAAUGUUUACACAAAAGAAGUUUUUUUGAAAUCCAAAUGGAAGGGUGACAUGUUUACUUUGGACAUCAAUCCAAUUGUGGGUAAACCUGUUGUAUGUCUUCUUUCAAAAGCAACAUCAGAUCUGAGCUGCCUUUGGCAUCAAAGACUUUCACAUCUCAACUUCAGAAAUAUCAACAAACUUGUUGUGCGAGAUUUGGUAAGACGUUUACCUGUACUUAAGUUUGAUAAUGAUUCCUUAUGUGCAGCUUGUGAAGUUGGCAAGCAACAUAAAUAAGGUCAUCCGAUCACAAUUGAUUCAAAAAUUGUCGAACCACUGGAGCUUAUACAUAUUGAUUUAUGUGGUCCUUCGACUGUUUCAAAUCUCAACAACAAACGAUAUAUCUUAGUUAUUGUUGAUGAUUUUUCCAAAUUCACGUGAGUUUACUUUCUCAGAUUAAAAUCCAAAGUGGUACAAAUCAUGAUUGACUUCAUCAAGAAAAUGGAACUAACCUUGAAAAAGCUUGUUCGCAAAAUCAAGAGUGAUCAUGGAACUGAGUUUAAGAACAAUGUUCUUGAUUCAUUUUUAGUGGAAAAAGGCAUUUCGUGUUUUACACAAAAAUCGAUCUUUAUGGGAAGCUGCAAGAACUAUGUUGGCAUAUGCGAACUUACCACAAUAUAUUUGGGCUGAGGCAGUUUCCACUGCGUGUUUUACACAAAAUCGAACUUUCAUUCAUCGACGUUUUAAUAUUACACCUUACGAAAUUAUAAAUAAUCGGAAACCAAAUGUGAAAUUCUUUCAUGUCUUCGGAUGCAGGUGUUUUAUUAUGAAUCUCAGGGAUAACCUUUCGAAAUUUCAAGCUAAAGCUAAUGAAGGGAUUUUCCUGGGGUAUUCGCAUAAUUCAGUGGCAUAUCAUGUAUUGAACAAGCGUACACGAAAAGUGGAAGAAACUUUUAAUCUUAUGUUUGAUGAUUAUUAUAUCAAACAAUCACAACAACAAUUUCAAAAUCUUCCAAUUUUGAAAGAAAAUCAAGAUGAAUCUGAACCAAUGCAAAUCUUGGAUAUUGAUUAUGAUUUGAUAUUUGGACUUUUAGAUCAUGCUGGAAAUGUAGAAAAAAAAGCUCAUGAUAAUCAUAUUCCUGAACAUUCAAAGCUUACUAAUGAUUCAACAUCAUCUCCUCAAGAAAUAGGCGAAAGUAUUCAAAAUGAUCCAAUGGAGGGGGAGCAUUUGGAUUCGAACACUCUGAUGGAGGGGGAGCAUUCUUUCGAGGGGGAGAAUGAGAGAGAUAAUGCUGAUACUGAUGGGGAGAGAUUAAAUGCUAACGGUGAGGAGGAGCUAUUACAAAAUAAUGAAAAUUAUCAUGAUGUUAAUGAUGUUUGUUCAAUUGCAGGUUCAGAUAAUGAUGAGUUGUACGAAGACGCACCUUUGGAUUUCGAUCCAGCUUAUCCACCAAUGGACAAAUGGAUAAAAGAUCAUCCGAAGGAACAAAUAAUUGGAAAUCCAAAAGAGGGAGUUUUAACAAGGGCUCAAAUUCGUACAAAGAAUGAGGUAUUAAAUACUCAUCAAGAGUUUUGCAUUUUUAAUGUUUUUAUUUCUAAAAUUGAACCAAAGACAGUAAAGAUUGCAAUGGAACACUUAGAUUGGGCUGUUGCAAUGCAAUCCGAACUGUCUGAAUUUGAAAGAAAUAAAGUUUGGAGAUUAAUUCCUAAGCCAAAUGAUGUUUCAUUUGUCGAGUUAAAAUGGAUUUUCAAAAACAAAACUGACAAAGAUGGAAAUAUCAUUCGAAAAAAGCCAGACUUGUUGUUAAGGGAUACUCUCAACAAGAAGGAAUUGAUUACGAAGAAACUUUUGCCCCUGUCGCAAGACUCGAGGCAGUUUGUAUAUUUUUAUCUUAUGCAGCUCACAAAGACUUUGAUGUUUAUCAAAUGGAUGUGAAGUGUGCUUUUCUGAAUGGAGAGCUCGAAGAAACUGUCUAUGUGGAACAACCUCCAGGUUUUGUUAACGAAGAACAUCCUAAUUAUGUUUAUAUUUUAGAUAAGGCAGUUUAUGGUUUGAAACAAGCACCACGAGCCUGGUAUGCAACUAUUACUUCAUUUUUGAAGCAAUCUAAAUUUAAACAAGGAUCAGUUGACCCCACAUUAUUUCAUAAGAAAGUUGGGAAUCGUCUGAUGCUUGUUCAAAUUUAUGUUGAUGAUAUUAUCUUUAGAUCAACUGACCCUGCUUUGUCUAAAGAAUUCGAAGACUUGAUGAAAAGUUAGUUCAAAAUGAGCAUGAUGGGAAAAAUUAAUAAUUUUCUUGGUCUAAAUAUUCGUCAAAGCAGAGAAGGAAUCUUCAUUAACCAAGAAAAGUAUACGAAGAAUCUGCUAGAGAAGUUUGGAUUAACGAAUAGCACAAAGUUACGAGUUCCAAUGGAAACUGGGAUCAAACUAACUCCUUUGUUAGAUAAACCUACAGUUGAACUUACUUUAUACAGAAGCAUGAUUGGAUUUUUACUUUAUUUAACUGCUAGUAGAACUGAUAUCAUGUUUUCUGUAUGUAAUUGUGCUAGGUAUCAAGCAAAUCCACGAGAACCACAUCUCACUUGUCACACCCCGAAACCGAUGGUGGAAACAUUUCGGGGUGGAGGAUGUCAUGUAAAGUAUCAUAACCAAUAUACAUAGUAAGCAUGGUAAACACAACCAUUACAUUACAUAGGAAAUUUACAUUUGUUUGAAAAGCAAAGUAAUACAUGUUUUAUCUAUACAUUAGUAUAACAAAAGUAAAGACGAGACUGCUAAAAUGCUCCAUCUUCUCCAAAAAUUUGCGGGAUACCUGUCUAACGUUGACCUGAGAAUACAAGCAAUUUUAGAAAUAUCAGCAUAAAGCUGGUGAGUUCAUAAGCGGUUUGUUUCUGUGAAAGAAAAAUGUUCCUUUAAGUUUGUGAAAAGUUGUUUCCAAGAAAAUCCCAUAUUUUGUUAUAAAAGAAGUUUGGUUAUCCAUUUGUUAAACAACCUAUCUAUGAAAAGUUAAGUUAUCCCAGGAAAAACCCUUAUUUUCCUAAAAAGUUGAUGGUUGGUUGUCGAUUCGGAAUGAAAUGUACAAGUAUCUACCAUACUUGUAGCGUUUAAGUAAAGUUUCCCUGAAAGUUUAGUUAUCCUUGGAAAGUAUAUUAGUUCUAACACGUAUAUAAAACUAAUAAGUAGGUUGUGAACUAAUACCUAAGGGUAUUACUGAUACCCUCUAGUAAUCAAAACAAUUAUUACUUUGAGAUUAGUUCACUAGGUUCAUUAUUACUAACAAGUAAAUCUCCGUUAUCUAAAUUGCGAGUUCCAUAAUCAUACAAUAGACUAGAUAUGGCAAUAAGAAGUCCAGUAUCAUCUUAUGACUUUUGUCACCCGUAGACCUGUCGGUCCCACUGUAGCUAGCAGCGAGGUGCGGGGUAGUCAGCCCCGUAUAGAUCUAUACACUCAAGUCACGCUCUCCAUCCAGGAGAUUCUGGUUACAGAGGCGAUCCUCCACUCGCGUAUCUCUGUGGAGUAUUUCAGAGGACAUGUCUCCAAUUUUUAAGAUUAACGAAUUUACAAGUAAUAAUGCGGAAAAUCCUGUUUUAGAUUCUGGUUACAAAGGUGGUCCUCCACUCGCGUAUCUCUGUGGAGUGUUUCAGAGGACAUAUCAAAAGUUCUAAUCUAAUGCUUUUAACAGUAAUGAUGUGGAAAAAUCAUUUGUGAAAUAUAAAAUAUAACAUUUUAUAUCGAGUUCACAAACAGUUUGAAAACUAACUCUACAAGUUAAACGGUUGGUUAAUACGGUUUCCAAUGUUAAAAACAUAAGGAAUAUGAAACAUUUCAAAUGAAAUAAUAAGUUUGAGUACAAUAUAUCCUUGUACUUUUGCUUGUAUUCCCCCCNNNNNNNNNNNNNNNNNNNNNNNNNNNNNNNNNNNGGGGUAUGAACUCACCAGACGAGAAAUGUGCCGGUUAGGAUGCUAAGUGUCAGUUCGGGGCUUGAACACGCGCGAGGUUCCUAUGUAACAUAAGGAGAUACAUAAUUGUAUCUAAUUAGACGUUGAACUACUAAUUAAUUAAGAAAAUACACUCCGAGGCACGAAAACACUUUAUCUCAACUGUUAAGAAUGAUCCAGGUUGCAUCUAAAGGUGUGUAGGGCCUAGAUAAGGAGUUUACUCUUCAAGAGUAAACCCUUAUGGGUGUUUACGGUCCAAAGACCAUAUCCCCUUGAUUUUAUGGCCAUAAAAUCAUGGUUGGUGUGUUCUUGGAUGUUUAAAGGUCUUACAAUGCACAAGGGAAGGUUCUACGGUUGAAUCAAAGGCUUAGGAAGUGAUCGGGACUUGAAUUGACCUUGGAAAAGGGGUUUACUGUUCUUGAAGGACCCUUGGGGAGUUUACUACCGUAAACACAUGAGUUUAUGGUCGUAAAAUCAAGCUUGGUUCAUUCUUCAUGCGUUUUGGUGGUUGUAGGUUAAGCAUACAAAGUUCUAGACCCAAAUAUAAGCAAUUCAAGGUGUUAAGGGCACUUAAACACCCUUUAUAGGUGUUUACAGUUUUGGGAGACCUUCCCAAACCAUAAACUCAAGUGUUGCUCAUUUGGGCAUGUUUUGGUGCAUCACAUGAAGGAAUACAAGGUUCUAGGCACUCAUGGAAGCUUUUGGAGGUGUUUAAGGGGCAAUUUAACACCUUAAAAGGUGUUUAUGGUCCAUGAAGGUGUGUUUAUGGUCCAAGAAUGUUCUUGGACCAUAAACUCACGUUUGCUACUCAACUGACAUGAUUUUGGUGUUCUAAGCUCGUACAUGCAAGUCCUUAAGUCUUUGCUAAACACUAGAAAGGAUUUUGAAGGGUUUUGGGGCUUCAAAACCCCCUUUAAGGGAGUUUACGGUUUUGGGAGAUGUUCCCAAACCGUAAACACAAGUUCUUGAGUGUUUUGGAUGAUUUAAACAUAGAUUUGCAUGCUUAACAAGUUAAACAACAAGCUAGGAUAGAUUACUUAUGAUUUUUGGAGUUUGAAGGGGCGUUUUUGGAUCAAAACUCGAGUUUUAAAGAGAGAGUAUAGAGAGAAAGUUAUGAGGAGGUGGGAAAAAGCUUAAAUGAAGUCAGUCAGCCUUUAUAUAAGGCUUGAGCUUGUAGCCAAGUGGGAAUCCACCCAAUACCGACGUUAAACGGGGGUUUACAAUUUUACCCAAUUAUAUUGUCGUAACCCGACUUAGUUGUAACUAAAACUGUUCCAAAUGAAUAUCGAGGGUGUUUUAACGUGUUUCUAAUGUGUUCCGACACUUAUGAAGUCAAAAUAAAAGUCCCAAUUUAAUUAACUUAAUCCAAAAGUUAACAGAAAAUUUUAAUAAAAAUAAAUUUUAUUAACGGAAAUGGAAUACAGUGACGGAAUAAAUUUAGAGUUGUCACAUCACUGUUGUAAAGAAUAUCCUUCGUUAUCUCAAAGGAACUUCUUCGCUAGGAUUGUGGUAUCCUUCGAAUACAGGGUUCUUUACUCAAGCAUAUUCAGAUGCAGAUUUGGGAGGUUGUAAUCUUGAUAGGAAAAGCCCAAGUGGAGGAUGUCAAUUACUCGAUGGUAAGUUAGUGAGCUGGCAAUCGAAAAAGCAGACAUGUGUUUCAAUCUCAACGGAUGAAGCUGCAUAUGUUGCUGAUGCUGCUUGCACCUCACAGAUAAUAUGGAUUCAAAGUCAAUUACGUGAUUAUGCAAUUAACAUGAAAAAGAUUCCUUUAUAUUGUGAUUCACUAAGUACAAUAAGAAUUUAUCAUAAUCAUGUGUAACAUUCAAAGACGAAACAUAUAGCUCUUCUUUAUCACUUCAUCAAUGAUCAUGUGGAGGAAGGAAAUAUUGAAGUACAUUUUGUGAAAACAACGGAUCCGUUGGUUGAUAUUUUCACAAAAGCUUUGGAUGAAAAAUCGUUUGCAGGGGAUGAUUGAUGGAAAUUCAAUUCCAUGCGAAAAAGACAAACAAUGAUUACAAGAAAACAACAAAGAAAAAUCAUUAAGUAUUCAGAGGUUACUGUUCACAAUCAACUCUUCAAAUGCUUCGAAUUCGUGUUAUUGGUAUUUAAAAAAAACUUCGAAUAUUUGCAACGAGUACUUUUAAUUGUUUUGUUCUUAAUUUUUGAAAAAUUUAAAAACAUCAAAAAGAUUUUCUUAUUAUUUUGUUCUUCUUUGUUGAAAAAUCAAAAACAACAAAAAGAUUUUGUUUUGUUUUUUUUAAGUAGGAUGUUGCAGAUUUUCAUGAAGAUACGAAGUGGACAAGGCUUACAGUUCUAGGGUGAGGUACAUUUUCAUUCUAUUCUUUGAAUUUUAAAUUUUUUAACUAGUUAGGAUGUCCCUAGAAGCAUGCUGCUGCAUGUUGUCCGAAGCCUCAAAAUGACUCAAUGUUUGAAAGCCUUAAUGAAAUUUUCAUACGAAGAUUUCUUCCCAAUUAGGCUUACAUUCGUAUUAUUCUACCUUACUCUUCUCACAUGAGUUAGGAGUUUUCUGUUUGGUCCAAUAUAACAGAGGUACAUGUUUCUUCGUAUACAAAUCUUUUUCAUCUUAAAGUUCUUACACCAUCACACACGAAGACAUAUGUCCAAGAGGUUGCUGAUCAAACCAAUCAAAACUUAGAUAUAUCACAAAUCUGUGUUUAUGAUCAGACAUCAUGAGACCAUGAUGGAAGUGAAACCCAAUUUAAUCAACCUUUAAGGAAUUAACGGGGAACUUAGUUCCAAAUUUUAACGAAACAUUUGUUUCUGUACCUUCGUUCGAAACUCCAAAUCAUAUUCAAUUCUUAUGUGUGGUCUUGAUCAAGCAUUCGAAACACAUGAUGUUUGUUACCCAACAGGAUCCAGAAUACAAUUUUUCUUGAAUAUGAUUUCAGAGUGAGUUUUAUCUGAAAUUCCUUGUUACUUAAAAGUUUUUCAAAGCAAACUUGUCACUGACUACACUGGUCAAACAAGUAAUUUCUGUUACAAUUACUCACCUUAUGUUUUGGUUGAUAUGUAACAAAAUUUAUUGAACCACCUCAAAAGCCUUUUAAAAGAAGCCCUUCGAUACUUAUUCACAAGUAUUCGAUUGUAAAUCACGGGAAAAUACACAAGCUGUUGAUUAUCUCUCUUGAUAAUUAACGAAGCAAUCUUUGCCCGGGGUUUAACUGCGUUCGUGUCAAAUUGAAUUUUUGACAUCACUAAAUAUCCAAAAAAAUUUAGUUUGCUUCUUAUCUUUAUUCUUUGACACACUUGACACACACGAAAUCCUUGAGGUUCUGAGUAAUACCAACUCAGGCUGAUGAUUUCAAAAAUCUGGCAAAUGAUUUUACUUUAAAACCAUAAAGUAAAAGACCCUUGACUCCAUCCGAAGGGUUCCGACGGUUACUAUUCUAUUGGGGCAAACAAUCCAGGCUGUUUGAAGUGACUGUUUGAAUUCUGUGCGGGUUUUGAGGAGAUGUGACAGUUACUUUAUCACACAUGGUUACUUUUUCAUCAUCACGACGCGGGUUUCACGGUGACACGUCACAGAUCAUUAAAUGCUUAUCCCGCUUUGAUUUCAAAAUUCAGCGUUACAUAUAAAAGGGGAUUCAAGGGUUCAUUAUCAGUUUACGCUUUCAUAUUCCCAAAUUUUCUCUGAUAAACAUCCAACUCUCAAACCCUAACAAUGCCGAUUGCUAAUCCUGAUGCAACUUUGUCUCAUACCACUAAUGAUGUAACUUCAUUGCCGAUCAUGUAGAUUCAAGGAACAAAUUAUCAAGUUGAAACCAACGUGUCUCACUAUCCUGAAGAAUUGAAAAUGCUUAUCGUUGCUUUGAAAAGUUCUGUUUUAUCCAAAGCCAUGUUCAACUCAUUCUCUGUUCCUCUCUCAUGGUUGUCUCAAGCGGGAUCAACAGCAACUUACUCUAAAGCCUUGGAUUCAAUUUUGUUUAAUCUGGUAUAUGAUAAGAAGGUUAGACUUUCCAAGAAGCUUUUCUGCCAAAUUCUCAAGAUACCUAUUUCUCCGCCAUACGUCUCUUCUACAUUCCCACAAAUUGUUCAUAUGUUAAAUGAAAUGGGUCAUCAACCCCAGUUGACAAAGAUUAGUGAUUUCAAGAAGUCAGGACUUCCGAGUGUAUGGAAUUUCUUGUUCGGAAUUUUUCUUAGAUGCUUAACCGGAAAAACUGUUGGGUUGGAUAAAGGGCGGAUGGAAGUUUAUGCAAUGGUUGCAGGUCUAUACUAUGAUCUUCAGGUCGAUUAUUCUACUCAGUUAUGGAAGGAGCUCUUGAAAAAAUAUAAAGAAUACGAAUGCUAUUAAUGGCAUUUCGUGUGCCCGUUAUUGGAGCUUGAUCUUACAGUAUUUUUAUGAGAAAGAAGGAGUUUUGGUACCAGCAAAUGAAGAAAAUGCGGUAUUUCAUAUAUAUAUUUGUCUGAAGGAUGCAGCUGACGAUACAAAUGAAUUCCCAUUUGUUGCUCGCAUUCUGGAUGCUAUGCUGAAGAGAGUUGAUCCCACCAACACCGUUCUUAUUACUUAUUUGCAAAACAUUGAUACUUCUGUUGAAACUGGGGUUCUAUUGGCUAGAGAGGAAGAGAAGAAAUCAAAACGUUCGAAGAAGGUUGUUGCUGAAUCUUCUACGAAAUCUAUUAAAGAAUCUACAUCUAGACCUGGCAAUGGGGCGGGUUUGGAGCGAAUCGACCUUGAUCCAAACCCUUUUAACAAAUUUCAAAACCCUAUCCAAACCCGCUCCGUAACCCGCAGGGUUUUAAAUAAUCAAACCCAUACCCUUAUCCACCGAAUCAACAGAUAUCCAAACCCGCCUCGUAACCCAUAAGUUUUUUGAAUAAUCAAACACAUUUUACUUAAAUCAUAAAAUCACAUUUAUUAAAUAAAACUAAGUUUUGAUUUAGAAAACACAUUAUGUACUCGAGGACUUUCUAUUGGAAUUAAAAUCAUUAUUUUAGUUACUUCCAGUUGGUUUUUGAUCGUCGAUUGCAUUGAUAGAGAAUAGCAAUUACAAACUUUCUUCUGGUUGAUAAAUUACCUUAUUGAUGUAUAAAUGAAAUUGGUGAUUACAUGAUGAAAUAUAAAUGAAAUGAAAUCAUGACUCUUGGGAGAAGACUGGAAGUCUACAAGUUAAGUCCUCGAGUCCUAUGUAAAAACAAUUUAGUCUUUAGCCUUUUCUCUUUGGACUUCUGAUUGGAAUUUAUUGUAAACUUUAGGUAAUAUAAAAUAUAAAUUUAUAUUUCCAAAAUUUAUAUGGGGCGGGUUAUAAACGGAGCGGAUCGGUGAUGAUCCAUACCCAACCCUUUUAAUAAAAGGGUUAGCGGGUACGGGUCGUUAACGGGUAAACGGAUCAAAAACUAUGCUCCAAACCCAUAUAAUAGUUAAGGGUUUGGAUCGGAUCAGGGUCAAAACCCGCUCCAUUGCCAGGCCUAUCUACAUCAGCAAAGAGUCCAAAGAAAGUACCAAUCUCGGAGCCUGAGCCAAUCCAACCAAAUGUUGAUAUUGCUGACACACCUGCGACUAAAAAGGAAAUUAUUCCUUCAAAGACUGGAGUUUUUAGAAGAAUCAAGAUAAAUUCUAAGCACAAGAGUCACUCACCAUUGACCAAUGUUGUUCAUAAACCACAGGUUUCGCAUCGAGUCAUUUUUCGUGAGAUUCCUGCCCCUGCAUCACCGUCUUCUAAUAAGCGAAGGGCAACAGACAUGGCCAAACAUAUUUCAAAAAAGAAGACGAAGGGAAGAGUGUUUAUUUCAUCCGAAUCUACAGCUAAUGAAAUUGAAACCAUUCCAGAGACACCAGAAGCUGAUCUUCAAAAAGAUACUGUAAUACCACCCGAAGUUUCGAUUGCCAAGACAGUUUCUGUGGAGGCACAAACUUCUGACAUUAUUGUAAACAUAUCUAAUAUGGAUGCAAGAGUCACAAUGGGUGAGGAUGCUUUGCAUGUUGAAUACAAAGGUAAAUCUUCGGAUGUUACACCAGACACAGUUGUUUCUUUAUCUUCACAGGUUACACCUAUCAUUCCAACAACAUCCACAACCGAUUCUCCUACUUUUGCAACUAUUAUUCAACAACCAUUCAUAUCUCUGUUUUCUUCACAAUCAAAUGAUCCACCUACCACUACUUUUCCAAUCAAAGAUUCUUCUUUCAUGGAAACAGAACACGACUCCGAAGGUUUUGGCGGAACCUUUGAAAAUUUAGAGUUUAAGGAAGAAGAGACAUACUUUCCAGAUCAUAUGCUAAUGACAAUGAAACAGUUCAAGAUAUUGAAUACCAAACUCAAUUCAAUUCUUCAGUCUCAGGCAGAUCUUGGGGGAGGAAAUUUUGUAACAAGUCUUGAAGUUGAUGGUAUGCUGAAGAUUAUUGAAGGAAGGCUUUCUUCGAAAGUUUCUGGCAUGAUUAAGGAUUCUGAGUCUCGUCUUCUCGACAAAAUUGACAUUUAUGAUCAGAAUAAUGAGCUGAGGUGCAAUGCUCAGAAAUCUACAUUUAAUGGUGAUCUGAAGUCGUUAAAAUCAAUUGCAAAGGAACGACAUAUUUUUUUUAUUCAAGAUGUGAAGAAGGUGAGAGAAGAUGUCAAUUACAAACUCCAAGAACUGCAUCAAGAUAUGGAGAAAGAGAUUGCAAAUGUUCGUACUGAAUUUGCAUCUCUAAAUCAAAAGGUGGGUAUCAUCUGCGAUGUUGUUACUAAAUUCGCAAAGUUGUACGAAAGUUUGAGUCCUCAAAUUACUCAACUUUCUACAAAUGAGAAUAAAAAUUUAAUGGAGGUUUUUUCAAUGCUAAAGGAGCUUAAAGCUUUAUCUUCUGCACAUGCUUCGUCUUCUUUACUCUCUUCUGAAGAUCUUAUCAACAAAUUUUCCAAAUUCAAAGCCUUACUUAUUCAGCAGUUGGCUCCUCUUUCCAGAAUAUCAAGCCUUCUUCCUACGAUGGAUGCCCCACCUGCUAGCACAGGGGUGCAAGGGGGAGAAAAGAAAUUCGAAGGUACGAAGGGUAGUGGUGAAGAUGCGAAGGUUGUGGGUAAGAUGUUUCCUUCCAAAAUUCCAACUUCAAAACCAGUGAUAGCAACUGCUGGUCCUAUCACUUCUACAAUUGUUAAAACUGUGCCAAUUACAAGACCAAUUUCGAAAGGUAUUGUGAUUGGUAAAUCUAUUGAUACUGGUAGAAGAGAAGUGAUAGAGGAAUCAUGUUCGAAGGCAAGGGGAAAGUCAAUUUUAAUUGAAAAAUCUAAAGAUGAAAAGAAGGCAGAGGCUGAUGCAGAAGUUGAGAAGAUAAGGAUGAUACAAAGCAUCAUGACUCAGAGGGCCAGUGAUCCUCCUGGUAUGAACAAGGGUGAUCCAUCGAAGAACUACAACUAUGAAACAAUUGAAGCCAAGGUUGCAUUCAAUCACAUGUAUUCGUUUGAGAAGAAGCCUAAACAGAGUUAUAUUGUCACGAAUACGGAUGCAAGCCAAUUGGUCUUUCCAAUUAACGAAAUGAUGUUCAUCAUGCCUCAAUUCAAAGCUGAAAGUAAAUUCAAGGAGAAGGAUGAAGGCACACACAUGAAGAUAAGAUUUCAUGCGGUUCUUGCCAAGCCUGCAGAAGAAGUGUGGUCCUUAGUCAAGAUCAAGAAGGUCAUCAGUAUAAAGAAGGAUGUGGUCUUCAAAAACACAGUCCAAAACAUUAAGUAUAUUGUAACCAGGGCAAAUGGAGAUUUGUGCGAGUUUACAAUAGCAGACUUUCCUUUGAUGAACUUGUAUGAUCUUAUACAAGUUGCAUUACUGCUGAAGGAAAGAUCAUUUUCAUAUCUUCAAAACACUGAGCCUAACGAAUACAAGCUGGGAGUUACUCACAUCAAAAUUUUUAUCGAGAAUUAUUAUGAAUGUCUGGCAAUGACAGAUGUGGAUUUGGCUACAACAAAAGGUCUGGAAAUUACAUCACCAAUGGCUCCUUCGAAGACUCAAGCUGACUUGAAGAAAUAUGCUGAUGGUGAAAUAUGCUUGAAGCCUUUUGGCUUAGUCUUCUUUGGGAAGGACAAGUCAGGAAAGUCUAAGAGAUUUUUGUUCCAUGCAAGUGAAGUUGAAAGAUAUUCUACUUCGCAAUAUACGAACUUAAUUGUUCGUAUGAACCAUUGAAAGAAGAAUAAUGAAGGUGACAAGAAGGAACUUAAAAAAAUUAUCUCUUGGUAUACUGAGAUACGAAGAGUAAUGUUGUACUCCAUUCAACUUCUUACAAACUGAAGUCUUCAACUCUAUUUACAAAGGGGGAGAAUGUAAGGGUAGUUUGGUUGUAAAGAGUCGAAGUUUUGUAUGUACUCUUCGUAUGUUUUGAUAUCUAUUUUACUAAGGCAUUUUAUACGAAGCUUUGAUGUCUAGUCCUUAGUAUAUUUUUUUAUACGCUUUUACUCUCCUAUAAAUAGGAGUCUUUACUAGAGUUAGAUAAGGUUUUACAGUCUUGUCUACUUUUGUACUCUGUAAACCUAAAGUGUAAUAUAGAGCUGAAUCAUGAUCUUAUUUACAUCGGUGUUCAAUCUUUCAUUUAAUUUCUGAUUACUUACUCUGAUUCAGAUUCAAACUCGAUUCUUAGAUUCUACAGUUUGGAACCAUUUCUUGCCAUUAGAUUUGAGUAGGGUUUAGGACAUAAAUGUAAGAGUUAGGUUUGAAAGUUGUAUGGAUUAAGAACAUUUGAGCUUGGUUUAUAGCUCCAGGACGUUCUUACGACGUGAGACAUGAGGUCUAGGUUGUAUGGAUUAAGAUUAUUGUAUUAAUUAAUUAAAAAGCUUGAAUAUUAAUUAAAUCCUAGAGAUUAAUUGAAUAUUCUAGAAGUUUCUGGAGCAUUGGAAUGGACGGUGCCUACAUGACCUUGGAUAGAGAUAUAGCAGGUUUUGAAUAUGAUAAGAUAGAUUGUAAGAGUUUAAAACCCUUGGUUAUUUGCAGCCUAUACCCCUAUUGGUUGUUUUUCCAUCUCAUAAUCAUCCAUAUGCUCCCCUUCUCUCUUAUAUACGAAAUUCAUAACUCCUCGCCUAGACUUACUGGAUUUCAUAUAAACCCUAAUUUAAGGUUUCUCCUUGUUAGCUUUUGGUGUUUCUGACUUGACUACAUUUGAGGGAAACCAUCAGACGUCACUGAUCUGUUCUUUACGGUCAUCGAUCUGCAGAGUUGUAUCAAGGAAAGAGUGGCAACGAUUGAUUCUUACGUCGUAAAUCACUAGAUGUUGCUUAGAAACCAUCAUACACCUAACCCUAAAAUCGUCGUUACCAUUUUCAUUUUGCAAACCAUACAUGGGGUGGGGUGUUGACUUAAGAGGGUGGCUGUUUUUUUUUUUUAAUUAAAAUAAUAAGAAAUUAAUUAAAAAAAAGGAAUCAAUUAAAGACAUAUUUGUCAUUUCAAGUAUGGUAUGGACCAAAACCAUGAAAAAAAAAAAGAUAACAAUUAGGACCAAAACCACAAAAAGAAUCCAAACUUUGACGACUUUUGCACCAAAUUUUUUUGGACAAAAACCACAUAAUUUUGACAACCACAAUAAGAGUUUAUAAUUUUAUCAAAUUUAUAACAUAAAAGUUAAAACAAGAGUCGGAUAAAGAGAAAUAAGAACCAUGCAUCCACACUAAACCUGCACUACAAAUGGCUGGAUAUACUUGCGAAGAAGCAUAUGCACAAAUCAAUGCAUCACUUGGGAAGGUAAAAUGAAUAAUGCCAAUUUUGCACUCACAUUUCUAUGCUGAGAUGUGAAAUUGUAACAAAAAUCUAUAAUGAAGAGGAAUAGGGAAAAAAAAUCAUGCAAAUAACACUCAACCGGAGUUAGAUAACAUGAAACAAGUUUUUACAUGCUGAUCUAUGAACUGAACUUAAAAUACAUUGAUCGACUGUACAUGCUUCUUCANGAAGCAACUGUUUCAUCACCAACACAGAGAUCUCGCUUUUGUAACCUUAAUCAUCACAAACAACAGUUUUUCCCUUGUUUCUUCUGCUGUUUUUCUGUUAUCAGAAUUUAGAAACAGUUCAUGUAAGUUAUAUAGUAUAUUAGUAUUGUAUAAAAUAAGUUGUAACUUAAGACAGUAUAGUGUAAUCAAGAUAUCAUUCCUAUGUUAGAUCCAGUUGUAAUCAGUAAAGUGAAGAUGAAAUUCAUGUAUUUGUUUUCCUGCAAUUGUAACUGUUUCUACUUUGUACUGUAAAGUCUAAUAAUUGAAGCAGUGAUUAAAGAUUCUAUCACUACAAAUAUUAUUCAGCCACAACCAACAGAAUGGUGAAAAAUAUUUGGUGGGAGCAUCAAAGUGCAACUAUUUUGAAAACCAUGGACAAUUAUGAUAACCCCCACACAUUUCAAAAUUGGCUGAAAUGAAUAAUUACUUUCAUUAUUGUAUUAAUGCACCCCUUCAUCAAUCGAUUGCUCCUAGUGUCAUAGAGUUAUGGAAACUACUCAAAAUUUUAUACUUACAGAAAGCCUUUGCAAAGAUACAUUUAAAAAAAAAAAAAACAAAUUAAAGACAUUCAAACAAGGAACAAGAAUGUCAAUAUAUAAUGUGAAAAGAUUAAGCAACUACAUGAGCAAUUGAAAUCAGUGAGCAAUUUUGUACCUAAUUGAGAUUUAGUUCUCAAAAGGAUAGUUGGACUAGUUUUCCAUUAUCAUUGUUCAACUUGACAGGUGUCAAAAUAUGUUUCUCAUCUCACAUACAAGCCUCAGUAACUAAUUCCAAGUAACUAAUAGCAAGUGGUAUUUCACCUCUACAUCUAAAUAAGAUUUUCACAAAUUCAGAACAUGUAAAAAUGAAAUCAACAGAAGUUGUUCAUUCUGAAAUGACUAAUGGAUACAUUAUGUCAAGUAAUUAUACAAGCACAAUUUAGCAAAUAUUUUACCAAAUAACAAAAGAACAGAGAAUUGAACAAUGACUCAAUGAGUCAUAAACAAUAAAACACAUCUCAUGGUCCCCCCCAAAGAAAUAAGCUAAAAAGAAAUACCAAAUAUGGUUUUAAAGGAAAAACUAUGCAACAAAUAAAUAUAUGGAAGUGAAAGAUAAAUAGCAUUUCUGUUCACAAUAAUUUCACAGAUAUACAAUAAUAUUUAGCUGUGUCAAAAUCAAUCCUACUAGAUGAGAAUUCCAUCCACUAAACCUUAAUGGGUUUAAUUAGUAUUAAUUCCGUUUAAAGAUAUUAUUAUUAUCAUCGUCAUUCCAAAUGGAAGUUGUGUAAUUUUAACAGACAACAAGUCUACACACCAACCCUAGUUCACCAUUUAUUUUGGAUAUCCGAAUGGAAUGAUUUUUUAAUUUCAAAGUAUUUGACUUGUUAACCAAUUUAAUUCAUUUUGCAGUCCAUUGUGACACUUCCAUGUUGACAACCCUAGUCAUAUUAAAUCAGUAAGCAUACCACGUUAACAAAAAAGUAUUGAGUCCCAAAUAGAACUUUUAUUGUAAAAUAUGCUUGGAUUAAGGUGAUAAUAUUUAAAUUUUUUGUUUGACUGAAAGUUAUUUAAUUUACACAUUAUGAAACAAAAAGAAGUUAAAAUACAUAGAGAAGGACGCACCUUCAAAUUAACAUAAAGUCAUCCCCAGAGGCAGGGGAUUAGAGAGACGACUGGCCAAUACGAGCCUCCUAUAUUAAUCUUUGUUUUCAGAUUUGGGCAUUCAAAAAUUUUCAAACUCACAAGCGAAGGCAACAACUUUUCUGGUAGAUCCAUCAUCUUUGGGCACUUGUCAAUGCUGAGAUGCUGGAGGGAGGUGAGGUGUUGGAGUCCCGUUGAAACUGAUUCCAAUUUCUCAAAUCUUUCUAUCCAAAGAGAAGUAAGAGAUGAAGGAAAAAGACCGGACAACCGACUAAAAUCAGUCACAUCUUCAUAUGGUCCGCCAUAUAGAUGUAGGUAACCAAGUGAGGUUGGAAAACUCUGUGGGCCCCACUCUGACAUGGGCUUCUUCAACCCUCCUAUGGUAAGGUAACACAGUUUUGGAGGCCAAAGCCCACCAGGAAAGGAAGCAUCCAUACUUGUACAGUUUUUUAUUUUCAAAUGUGUUAACAAGGCAAGAUUCGGCAACUCAUGGUCAGGAAAUGGAAAUGACUCUAGACUUGGACACUCUUCUAUUACGAAUGCUGUCAGUUGGAUGAAGUACUUCAAUUCAUUCAUCGAUUUAAGUUUCUUGCAGUCCCCGAUGAAAACUGACUUGAGCUUCUGCCCUCCUCCUGUUGGGAAAGACACAGAUGUAAUUGAAUCACAGGUAAAAAUAAACAAUGACUGAAGACUAUCUGGACAGCUGCAAUGCUGUAAGCUGGCACAACCAUAUACCCACAACAACCUAAGAGAUGUUAGGUUGCUCCCACAAUUAUCCUCCUCUUUCUCUCCUAAACUCACCAAAUUUGAACAAUAACGUACCUCCAACCUCCUUAAAUUCGCAAGAAGCUUACCUGCCUCUGCUUCAGAUUCCCACAAGUAUCUUAUUUCACUACACCUUUCUAUCGUUACUUCUUCAACUUCCCCAAGAUACUUCAUAACACCUCCCCACACCUCAUGAGUAAGACCUGAAAUAUCAUGUAAUAUCAACUUGGUGACUGAUGAAGCGACAUGAACCAGGCUUGUCAACACACCAUGACCACAUCCUUUUACUGUCAUAACUCUGAGUAAAGGUAGUUUUUCAAGUGAGACUUCAACCAGAUUAGGACAAAAUAAAAUAAGAAGCUUUUUAAGGCAUGGAAACACUGCUGCAUCUACAACCCCAUUGUUAUUGGUUGACCAUACCUCCCAUGAUGGCAUACUAUCAAAAGCUAGAAUUUCAAGGGAAAGGAAUGCAACACCUGUUCCAAGCAACUCCCAACCUACAAUUUUCACGUUACUCAUCUUCCCAAUAUACAAGUCCUUAAGUGAUGGUAGUUGCCCAAGUUCUGGUAGAGAUGUACAUUCUUCACACCCAUAUAUCGACACGUGAGUCAACCCAAGAAACGAAGGAUCUCCAACCCAAUUUGGAAACUUUAUACCUGCAUAUGACACAAUUUCAAGCUUCUUCAAACUAUCGGUUUGAGGCUUCAACUCUGUAAGGACCUCCUUAUCAUGUGUCUCCUUUCGAAAAACGUUUAACCCGGUAUCACUAUGACACAACCUAAGCCUCUUUUGCAAUAAUCCAUAACCCCAAUCCAACUCCAACUCACUAAGCCUUUUUUGUGUUAAGUGUGCAUCGCAUGCCUCCAUUGCAUUUUGUACAUUGCCCAGCCCCCAAAUGGAAAUUUUCCCAUGGAGAUUUUGCAAGUUCUUAAGCUCGGUUAUUGCAAAUCCGUUUUCACCUCCAAUUAUGAUCUUGGAGAGAGUUUGUAGGCCUUUCAACUCACCAAUCCCUAAGGGCAUCUUCUUCAAACCUGGAGUAUCCCUAAUGUCCAAAUGCCUCAAAUUUUUAAGCUUUAAGAAGCUGUUGGGCAAGUUAAUUAAACUUUUACAGCCAAAAAGGAUCAAUGUCUGGAGAUUAUAAAGAUUGCAGACAUUUUCUGGUAAAAGCUUGAUAUCAGUUCGAGAUAAAUUCAGAUACCGCAAGUGCUUUAGACUGCCAAUGAAUUCGGGUACCUCGCUUAUGCUAAGAUUACUCAAACUUAGGACCCUUAACAAUGGUAACUCCUGAAGUAAGUUCUCCAGGACCUUGUUUGAUAAGUAGAAUCUUUGCCAACUGUCUAUCACCCCAACAGAUACCGCUAUCAACGUUCUCAAACUUUUAGCUCCUUUGAGUGGCUCGAACCUUCCGGAAACCAUGUAUUCCUCACGAACAAAUGACAGAUGGCGGUACUUUUCGAAUGAUUCAUUCCUAUGUUCUUUCUCCGUCCCAAUGUCUACCCUUGAAAAAAACUCCCCAGCAACAGAUGUGGCCAAGUCACUCAUGAGAUCAUGCAUCACAAACAACGAUCUGUCAUUUGGUGCAGGUUGAAAAAAUGACCUUGACCACAACGCAUUAAAAUACUCGAGACCCAAGCGUUCCAUUGUCUUGUUUGUCGUUGAUUGCAAAAAACCUUCUGCCAUCCACAACAAAAUCAACUUCUCCUUGUCAAACUCAAAGUCCUUGGGGAACAAGGAGCAGUAUGCAAACAACUGCUUCAAACAUGGAGAGAGAUCAUGGUAGCUUAAUUUGAGAGCCGGAACAAUCCCAUCUCCCUUUUCUAGACUCCAUAUCUCACUAUUCAGCACUUCUUUCCAGUCUUCCUCAUCUAUUUUUGUCCUUAAUAACCUUCCAAGUGCUUUCAAAGCCAACGGCAACCCAUUACAUUUUCUAACAAUACCUUCACCAUGUGGUUUAAGUAGCGGAUGUGAAUCAAAGUUUUUUUCUCCCAAUGCAUGCUGACAAAAUAAGGAUAAAGCACUUUCAUCUGAUAGAAUAGGCAAAUGAUAAGGUUCAUUGUUACCAAGUUGGGUUAACAACGACAUCUUCCUGGUUGUCAUGAUAACUUUACUUCCGGGUGCCCCUGCAAGAAAUGGCCCUGCUAGGAUUUCCC
rnacentral:lncRNA from 1 species